CUCAGAUUUUAUCUGAAAAUACUUGAAAUGUCUUCAUUUUACUCUCAAUCUUGAAGAAAUUUUUUAGAUACAAAAUAGUAGAUUAAGAAUCACUUAAAAAAUAAUUUCCUGAAGAAAUUACUCCUCGUCUAGCUUCCAUGGUUUCUAUUGAGAAGUCUGCUUCUACUCUAUCAUUCCUUUAUAAGUGGUCUGCUCUGUUUCAUUAGUAUUAAGACUUUAAGUUGUGGGAUUCUGUAUUUUUUUUACAAUAUGUGUAGGCACAGAUAUCCUUCCUGUACCUCUCCAGAAACUUUCAUCAAUUCUAAAAAAAUUUCCGGUCUAAUGUUUUUGAAUAUUCUUCUCAUUCAUCCUUCAUAGUAUUCCUUCUUGAGAUCUUCUCAUUAGAGUAUUCAUGUACACUUAUCUAUCUUUCACAUUCUGCAUUUUCUUUUUUCUGUCGAUUUCUGUAAUUUCUUCAGAGAAAUCUGCUAAUUUCCUACUUCUGUCUUGAGUUAUACCUAAACUGCUAGUUACUUCAUAUAGAACAUUUUAUUACAUCUGUUUUCAUUAUAUUUUUCAUUAGGUUCUUUCAUUAGGUCCAAAUGACCUUUUAAGGUCAUUUCAAUAUUAUUUUAGGAAUACAGAUUUGUUAAACACAUGAAAACAAAAUUACUUUUUAGACUGGAAGUCCAUAAAUUGUGUUCUGAAAAAGAAUUAAGGGUGAAUUUCUACUGAAAAAAUAUUAAAUGAGUUUGAUAUUCAUGACUUGAUGGGGAGGGAAAACAUUUAAUGUUACAUUUAUCCAAAAAGUAAAAAUUAUCACUUUUUCAUAGAAAACAAAGAGAUUUGAUGAAAACUAUUAGAGAAGAAUGGACAUUAUGAAUGAUCUGAAUGCAGUUAGGAAGAGACUAAGAUUAGAGAAAUCAGGUUAUAAGCUCUUUUUCAAUUAACUAGGUAAGGCAAAAGGGCUGAAUUGUUCUGGAAAGGGAAGAUACUUUCUAAGGGACUUAAGUUUUGGUAACCUUUAAGAAGUUAAAGGUGAGAGAAGGAAUCAAUGUGGUGGUAAUAAUAAUGCUGAUGAUUUUAUUUCUACUACUGGGAGUCCAAGAAUGUAAUACCUAAAACUAAUAUUAUUUUAUGAUAUAUUACAUAGGAAUAUUUUAUUUAGUAUUCUUUUGAUACACUGAGAAUAAAUGUGAAGUUGCUAAACUUUAUAGCCUAAACAAACUAUGUCUAUCAUUGCUUUCUGUACCCAACACCUCAUCUAUACCAGUUCACAAUGUCUCAACUUCAUGUGUCUUCUGUUUCAACUGCUGCUUCAGUAACCAGUGGUGCUUGGGUUCAGGACUUCACUUAGAACUUGACCGUGACUUACCUUAAGGUCAUGCCGUGUGCUUCUUACCUCUCAAUCCAGGACUUCCCUGUUGAAAAGGAAGUUGAGUAAUCUUACCUAGUACCACAAAUGCACAGUCUGGAAUUUCAGGGGAAUUAAGUCCCAGUGAACAAACUUUUGACUAAUGGCUAAGAAGAUAAAUGAUAAAUACUUUCCCUUUCUUCUAAGCGACCUAUGGCCUUGAGGUGCAGCUGAUGUGGCUUUCCAUAGAAGAGUUCUAUGACAUGAACCAGGCUGAAUUAGUGCUAACUAGUUUAGCAGCACACUCUCCAAUCGGAUUCUCCUUCCCUAUGUUGUUUUCUUUUACUCCUUAAUAAAAAAAUAGUAGCACAUAAAUCUUUUCUUUGCUUUCUUUCUUUUUUUUUUUUUUUGAGACAGAGUCUUGCUCUGUCACUCAGGCUGGAGUGCAAUGGUGAGAUCUUGGCUCACUGCAGUCUCUGCCUCCCGGGUUCAAGCAAUUCUCCUCUCUCAGCCUCCUGAGUAGCUGGGAUUACAGGUGCAUGCCACCACACCCAGCUAUUUUUUUGUAUUUUAGUAGAGUUGAGGGUUUCACCAUGUUGGUCAGGCUGGUCUUGAACUCCUGACCUUGUGAGCACAUAAAUCUUUGCAUUAUGCUAUGCUUGCUGAGGUGCUGAGGCUAAAACACCUGCCCGUAUCUCAGCCUGUACUGAGGGGACAUGGCUAUUUCUUCAUAUUUUUCAGAAGAGGAUUGAAUAGGGAUGGACAUCUAACACAAAGGCUGUCACACAAUUCACCAACUAAGCUAAUUAUUUUACUCAAUGUGUACAGGGAGGUGGGAAUCUGCUUCUUUAGUCGGUCUCCUUUCCACUUAACUCGUGGAUUAUGAGCAUCUAGCAAAAUUGAAUGUGAAUCUAUUAUAUACAGUGAGAUUUUACAUACAUGUAUAUAUGAUACAAUAUGAUUUUUUGGACAAUACGGAUCUUAAACUCAAGCCAGCUGUUUCACCCAGGACUCAACUAAAGAAUCUGCAAUCUGUUCCAGGAAUGGAUGGGAAAUGGCUACAGCAGCCUUACUGUGAGACUGUCCCAGUGUUCUAUCUUUCUAAGGCAGUUUGAAGGGUAAAUUUGAUACGGGAAUUUUACUUUUCAUUAUGACUUUAGAACCAAGUAGUUACCUCUAGAAAGUAUAGAGUUUUGGGAUGUGAGGAGAUCUCUGCCCGAAAGAGUAAAUGUUGGAAUGACUUAAGACAAAAGGGAUAUGAUAUUGAAGUCAGCGUUAUUGUGGAUUGCCUUAGCCCGACUUUUCUAGCAUUAGGAAAGAUAGUCAGAGCUACUAAGAUGGAAGACACAAAGUUGCUUGAGGACCCCAUAUUUUUAAGUGGAGAAAUUUCUUUCCCUCCCACUUAGCUCCUCAUUUCUAUAGCCCACAUCUUGUUCAGACUUCCUCACCUGUAGUCCAGGUAAAGGCAUUUGAACGCCAGCCAUGUUCCAGGCACAAACUAAGUACUUUAUGUAGUUUUCCUUAUUAAAAAUAUGUAACACUGUCAAGAAGUAUCAUUUUCCCUAAUUUACAAAUGAGGAAACGGAGACUCCAAAAUCUAGGUGAUUUACUCAGUUAAUAAGUAAAGAAACUAGAGUUAAAAUGUAGGCAAGUCUAACAAUAAAGCUUGUCCUCUUUUAGAACAAAAGACCCCAUCCUUUAUUUUGUAGACUCUCUAGUCUUAUCAGAGUUUCUUGAGGUUGGCUUGGAAUGCCCUCUGUAGGAAGUAGGAGAGGUCAUUUCUUUCCCCCCUUAUAUGAGAAGUUUUUCCUAAGAGUCCCUAAAUUAUAAAGCUGCCAUCCUUUAUGACAUUGCCAGAAGUGGAAUUAGGUGGUGGGACCAGAAAGGAGGCUAGAGACCAUGCCCUGUAACCAUGGCUCAGCUGCACUUUCCUUGAUAUCUGUUUUGACUUCAGAACCCUUUGUCUUAUAAUUUUGGUGGCAUUUAGGUAAAGCAUAAAUGUGAAAGGGAAUGGUUUCGUUUUCCUGAUGGAAAGUUUAAUUUAGCUCUCCACUAUGUUGUUUGUAGCCUGUUUGUAGAUAUAAUUGUUUACUUAAUGAGGAUGCAUCCUUCCUUUCAAAGCACUGCCUUUAAAAUGAAUUUCCAUAGAUUUACAUAAAUUCCCUGGGGAUCACUAUAAUGUGAGCAAAGAAAGAAUUGCCCAGCUGUGCACAGAUUUAAUGGAAUUAUGACGCUUUAGGGUGUGGGCUCUGAGAAAGAUGUCUGGGGGAAAUAGUCACUCAAACUGUCGGAGAAAUAAUCCCUUAAGUGAAUUUUCUCUCAUUCCAAUAGAAGAUUUUAGAAGCUAGCAUCAUCAUAAGAUUUUAAAAGAAUUUUAUCUUAAGAAAAGCUUGUGAAAGUGUGGUUCAUUUAAGAAAUAAUUGGUUUUAUUUGAGAAUGGAUAUUAAUAUUUUAUUACAGCAAUUUUGAGUAGAGGCUUUGAUUUUAAAAUAGUUUGGUUUAAAAUGAAGAGAAUUAGCUAAUGCCCAAUAUUUCAUGCUGUCAAAACUUGAAACUAACGGCAUCCUCAAUACGUUUACCCUUAAAUGUAAUAAGGGACCCACACCUCAUCAGGGCUGCUUUCUACGUCCUUCACACCUUAAUGCUUCCUAGUGAUGUUUGAAAAUCCAAGACAAUAUCAGUUUAUGGGGCUCAAGGAUUUUUGUCAUUUAUUCAACUUACUUUGAAUCUUUCUUUAGAUAGUUGUGUCUGAAACAAUUAUGUAGCUUUAUACUCUGUGGCUGGUUCUAUAGGUCGGUUAGAAUAACCUAAUAACAAGGGGAAGAUCUUAUGAUUCCCUUGGCCUUGGAACAUAGUACUGUGAAUUAUGUCAUUUUUAAGAUAAUACCUCAGCCUUAGCCAGCUGUCUAUAAAUGCAUAUCUUUGGUUUAAGGAGACUUAGUUACAAAUAUGAAUUGAUCAAUAUUAAUUUACAUUAUGUGUUGAAAAAAAAUCACUGAUAGUGAAUCAAUAGGUUCACUAUCCUUCCUAGUGGUGUUUGAAAAUCCAAGACAAUAUCAGUUUAUGGGGGACAACAUCAGUUUAUGUAUUAUUGUAUGAAUACAUAAAUGGAUAUUGUCAGUUUAUGUAUUAUUGUAUGAACACAUAAAUCUGUCAAUAAAUAUUUAGCAAUAUAUAGAAAAUAUUCUGUGGGAGAAGGAGAAAAGGAAUAGACAUGUUUUUGUAGCAUCAAGGAGUGUUUAACAUCCAUACAAAAAAAAAACCAACAUAAUAAUUCAAAUGUAUUGUGCAUUAAUUAUGAGCCAGAAUUUUUCUUUCAUUAUUUCGUAUAAACUUCAAAGCAACCUUAUGAUAUAGGUACUCUGAUUAUCCCAUUUUACAAAUGAUAAAACAGAGGCACAGAGAGGUUAAAUUACUUGCCUCACAAUUAGUAUAUAGGGUAGCUGGGGUACCAACCUUGACACUUUGACUCCAUAACUUAUGUUCUUUAUAAAAUUCAAUUGUUACUUUUUUUUAUGAUAAAGUAUGCAUUUCAUACCAUUUUAACUAUUUUUUUAGUGUGAAUUUCACUGGUAUUAAGUACAUUCACACUGUUUUGCAAACAUCAUCACCAUCUAUCUCCAUCUUGCUCAUCUUUCCAAAUUGAAACACUGUGUCUAUUAUGCAAUAACUCCUCAUGUCUCUCUUCCCUCCAGUCCCUGGAAGCCACCAUUCUACUUUCUGUCUUUACAGAUUUGACUGCAUGAAGUACCUCAGAUAAGAGGAAUCAUAUACUAUUUGUCCUUUUGUAUCUGUCUUAUUUCACUUAGCAUGUCUUCAAAGUUCAUCCAUGUUAUAGCGUUUAUCAGAACUUCAUUUAUUUUUAAAGCAUGGAUAUACUACAUUUGUUUGUCCAUCAGUGGACCCUUAGGUGGCUUCCACCUUUUGGCUAUUGUAAAUAAUGCCUCCAUAGAUAAAGGCAAAUAAACAUAGGUGUUUCAAUGUCUAUUUGAGUCCUUCCUUUCAAUUCUCUUAGAUGUGUUUGUUGUCUGUUUCUGUAAAAGAAUACUAUAGACAAUGGGUAAUUUAUAAAGAAAAGAAACUUAUUUAUUCUGAUUAUGGAGGCUGGGAAGUCCAAGGGCCUGGCAUCAGCAUCUGCUUGACCUCUGGUGCCAAGAGAGGCAACACUGUAGGGGCAAAAGGACUAGAGAGGAUCCAAGAAAGGAGAAAGCUGAGAAAGCUGAAGAAGCCCAGCUUGCUUUUGUAACAGUGCACUCUGUGAUGACUAAUCCAUUUCCUAAAAAACUAAACAAGUCUUUCAAGAAAAACAUUAAUCUACCUUAAAGACCUGAUUACCUCUUAAAGGCCUCAUCCCCCCCAACACUGUUACACUGGCAAUUAAAUUGCAAUGUGAGUUUUGGCAGAAAUGAACCACAUCCAAACCACAGCAGGAUGUAUACCCAGAAGUGGAAUUGCUAUUUCCUAUGGUAAUUCUGUUUAAUUUUUUGAGGAACUGCCAUACUGUGUUUUACAGUGGCUGGAGCAUUUACAUUCCCGCUAGCAAUAUACAAGGAUUCCCAGUAAUUUCUCCACAUUCUCGUCAAGAAUUUUUUUUUAUAAUUGUCACCCUAAUUUUAUCUCAUUGUGGUUUUGAUUUGUAUUUUUUUGCCACAUACAUGUUUUAAAAAAGUGAAACAAAUAUGAAAAUCAUUAGAAUAUAGGUAGUAAAGUGGUAGGUCUGGAAGGAGAACAGGCAAGAAGACAAAUACAUUUUCAAGGUCAGGGAGUAGAAAAGAAGAUGGUAUGUAGAGCAAAUCAUCUUCUUUUUUUUGAUAUAUUAUUACAAAUGUAAUUAAGUAAAAGGUAUAAGUGUUUAUAUGGCUCUUUUUUUUAAAGAAAGAAGGAAAGAAAAUAAAAGAAUGAAGGAGGGGAAGACAGAGGAAGAAAAAGAGGGAGAGAGAACAGGAAUGUUGUUUUAUUCUAAAAAUGGGUAUUGGAAACCUCUUUUAUGCCAAUAAUUGUGCUUAAUAAUGGCCGAUCAAUAUUUCAUUUAAACCUAUGAGUAGGUGUGAUGUGAUACGGAUAAGAAUGUAUAUAUGUGUAUUUAAAGUGGAGAGGUCUGUGAAUGUUUAUUAAGUUUACUUGUUCCGAAUCUGAGUUCAAGUCUUGGAUAUCCUUAUUAAUUUUCUGUCUCAUUGAUCUAUCUAAUAUUGAUGUUGAAGUCUCCCACUAUUAUUGUGUGGGAGUCCAGGGAGUCUAAGUCUCUUUAUAGGUCUUAUGUAUCUGGGUGUUCCUGUAUUGGGUGCAUAUAUAUUUAGGAUCAUUAGCUCUUCUUGUUGCAUUGAUCCUUUUACCAUUAUAUCUUUGUUGCUUUAACAUCUAUUUUAUCAGAGGCGAGAAUUGCAACUCCUGCUUUUUAUUUAUUUAUUUAUUGUUGCUCUCCAUUUGGUUGGUAAAUCUUUCUCCAUCCCUUUGUUUUGAGUGUUUGCGUAUCCUUGCAUGUAAAAUGAGUCUGGAGGCAGCAUACCGUUGGGUUUUGGCUGUAUCUUUUGAUUAAGGGAUUUAGUUGAUUUAAAUUUAGGAUUACUGCCAUUUGAUUUGUAUUUUAUUAAGGAUUAUUGACUAUUUGUAAAUCUUCUUUACAGAAAGGUCUGUUUAAGUCCUUUGCUUUUUUUUUAUGGAGUUGUUUUGUUGUUGUUGAGUUGUAAGAAUUAUUUAUAUAUUGUGGUUAUUAAUCCCUUAUCAGAUACAUGCUUUAUAAAUAUCUUCUCCCGUCCCAUGGGUUGUGUCUUCAUUCUGUUGAUAGUGUUCUUUGAUGCAAAAUUUUUAAUUUUGAUAAAGUUCAAUUUAUCUAUUUUUUUUAUUUUCUUGCUUAUAUUCAAACUCUAUGCUGUUAGCCACUAUACCGAAGCAUACAACAAGAUCGUAAUGUGCGAAAUGAUUUGGUACCAACCAGAUCUCCUGAUGCUGAAGUGAGAAGGAGGGGCUGUGUUGUCAAGGAACACAAUGAAGAAAGCAAUGCAACCUAGUAUGUUAUAGAUAUGUUUAGUGAAUGUUUCUUGGUGAGAGAGUUUGCUUUUCCAUAAGAACCAAAAAGAAAAAAAAGUUGAAGGAAUGUAUGGCAUCUCCUGUUCUUUCUCAUGUAUGUCUUGGGCAUUUAAUAGAGGAUGAAAGGGUUGGAGAAGGGGUGUGUUGUCUGGUGUUGAAUAGGUAGAGCUGCCCAUCUCUUAGUUGAAGAUACAUCAUCAGGGUGUUUUCUGGUAGAAAUUUUAUUAAACUGAAUUUAAAGAGGUAAAACAAAACCUCUCUGCAGUUUCAUUUAUUCACUGCCACUGGAAGCUCACUUUUCCUUGGAGCUUAACCAAGACAGAAAGUGAAAGAAAAAAAAAUAAUCCUUUCUCUUGCCUUUUCUUCUCUGCCUAAGACAGCACUAAACUCUGUCCCCUGGGUAUUAUUGGGGCAGAGGGACUGGACAGAGAACUGAGUCCAGGUUGUGCUCCUCCUUCUGAAGGUGUUAUGUGACUUCAGGGUUCUUUGUUUCUAACUACAUACCCCAACUUAUGUUUUCCCUCUGCUGUAUAACUUAGCUCUCUGGGUCUUUUUUUUUUUAACUUUUGAACUUGGGAUACAUGGAAGUUAAACUGUUUUUUUUCCCCCUAUGCUGUUUGUGAAUUAUUAAUUUCAUGCCUCAGACUCAAAGGUUAGGCACAGAUGCUGUGCAACAAUAACAAUUGGUAAGGUAAAUAAUAAAAAGAAAUCAUCCUUCCCAUGUGAGUAUAGGAGAAAGCCUCAAGUACUCAUGUUGUAGGCUAUGCUUUCUCUAGGCUCUUAACAUUCUCUACAUUCAAGGUAAUCAUAAAAGGGGUUUGCAAAUGUCAUGGUGAUGGCUUCCAAGCUGUCAGGAAGUUUGCAAUGUGAAGAGCUCUUUUGUAAGCCUCCUGCUAAGCCUCCAUAGCCACAAUAUUUGAUGUAAUAGUUUCCUCUUCUUACAAUGGCUUUGGUAAGAAGGGAGAGUUGUGAUGCUGAUCAUGGAGUGGAGGAGAUGAAGACAGGAGAACAUAAGGAAGGUCUUCUAGGCUCACCUGACUGCAUUUCAUAUGAUGAUCUCCCUGCCAACAUAGAGACUCAGUGGUCCAGGUAUCAUACCUCCCUGUAAACUCAGGGUUCCAGUGUCCUGGUCAUCUAUGGACUCCAAAUGACUUCAUUUCACCUUCCAAGGUCUACUCCAGCUUGACUUCAAUUCUCUUACACAAGGGAGCAGUGAGGUCUCUGUUCCACCUCAAAGGCCAAGAAGAAGAUUCAUUUUGAAAGAUAAUUUUAAUAAUACUGUUAUUCAUUGUGCUAGGUGCUUAAUAUUUCAUUAAAUUCUGAGAACACCUCUAGAAAGAUUUUAUCCUUUUUGCUAAGGAAAUGGAGGCUGGGGAGGGGAAGGGAAUUUGCCUAUCAUAAUUCCAUCUGUGGCAUGCAAAGCUUGUAGUCUUAAUAUGUCUCCCCCUUUCCACAGCACCUCCUCCUUCCCCUCUUUGCCUCUAUCUCUUCCUAGUCUUCUCUCUCUGGCUUUUAAUUCUCAUUCCUUUCAAACUGUUUAGAUGCCAGGAAACAAAGGAAAAACAGAAAUGCUUUAUAUAAGACUUGUCAACUGAAAUUAGAACCAAUUACUGCCUUUCGGAGGAGAGAGCUGCUGCACCUUCAGCAUUUUAGAAUAUAAGGUCAGAUAUAAUCCAGACAUUAGUUGAUGGUCCUUUCUGCAUGAUAAAUGAAUCUAGUACACACUCUGUUUGAUGUUAUUGUUGUCUCAUCUACUAGCACAGUUGACUAAGGAGAGAUGAGAUGCAGUUUUCACAAUGCUUAUGGCCAUUGGGUAAAAGAAUUGCUGCACAGGUGGAGAUAUGAUCAUUCAGCUGCAACAAGGGCAAUUUGCAAGAGAGAAUUGCUCUUGCAAGAGAGAAUUGUUCUUGCUCAUGCUGAGGCUUGGAUUCUCAUUUCAUGGCGGAAACUACUUCCUGACACAUUUUUUCUUUCUGCAGCUCGGUUGUUGGCUUAUUCUUACUUGUUUGUAUCAGAAUAAUGAUUUUUUGUUGUGUCAAUUUCACAGCAAAAUUAUUAUUCUGACAAAUCCAGUAGCCAAGGUGAAAUAAAAGCAUUAUAUAUUGAUUUUUAGAGAGAAUAGGUUUACUGUGUCUUAUUUAUUCUUGAACAGGCUAAUUUGAUAGCUGCCAAAACCCCAAUAGGGUUAGACAAUGCCACUAGUAUAUAUAGUUAUAUCAAUAAUUUGGUGAGUGUUCUAUUUUCUGAAAUACAGCCUAAAUAUCAGAGUUCAAUCAUUUUUCAAGUGAUGCUUACAAAAUAGCAAGAAAAAAACUCAAGUUUGCAUGUUGAGAACAAUAGCAGAGGUGCUUGACAACUUCUUUGGCAUCUUGAAAAAAAAUUGUUGUAAAAAAUUUUUUUCUGGAAAAAAAAAUUGCAAUCAGGUAGAAAGUGUUUCACUUAGUAGCUGUUGUCAUGAUCUAGUAACAGAUAUAAAACAAACAACCGUAUCUAUUUCUUAGAAGAUUACUAAGUACCAGGAGAGGAGGCAGAGGGCAUGUCCUUAAGCUAUAAGGUAUUUCUAAAGUUAGUGCUUUGGGUGGGGAGUGGGCAUUACCUUCUUCAUCAUCAUAACAAUAAUGGCAAACAGACAGCAUAUGAAGAUGGUAGGCACUAUUAUGAACAAUUGACGUGUUCUAAUUCAUUUAAUCCUCACGGCAACCCAAGGUAGAUUCAUAUCCCUACUUACAGGUGAGGAUACUGAACUUGAAGAGGUUGGGUAACCUGCCCAUGGUUACACAAUUAUGCGGAAGAGCCAAGAAUAGAAUAGCCUGGGUCCAGAGUUUAUGCUCCUACCUAUUAUCCUAGAUGGCAACAUUUAUUAAGGACAUAUGAUAUGUCAUGACAUGCAUUAUGCUGGACACUGUUUGAGUGGGGAGAUAAAACUUCUUCAAGAGAUUUACAGUCUAAUGUACAUGUAUAAAAAUCUAUCUCCUUCCUAUCUUGAGAAGUCAUUUUUAAAGUUUCUGAUGGUAAGGAAAAAAUUACCCCAACUGCCCAUAAUUUAUGUGGAUUUAUGUUAACAUAGAAGCACUGCUCUCCAUGAAUGAAGUAUCUCAAGGAUGCUUUCAAAGUUAGAAUGAAGCUGUAACAACCACAGCACCAAUGACCAUGUAUUGAGUAAUUCCACAAAGUAGGCACUGUCCUAAAUACUCAGAAGUAGUCUCACGGAAUACCCACAACUACCUGAGCCAGGACUUUAAUUCGAAAGAAUCACCAUCUCCAGCCCCACCCCUGCAUUUGUGCCUUUGCAAUGCGCCUGAGUCACAGGGAGGUGAAGGAUAUUUUCUUGUUGGUUUCAUGGUUUCAGCCAUAAGACAUCUCUUCUUACAUAAAACCCAGAAAUCAUACCUGACACUCAAGCUAGUCUAUUUUUAUGAAUUUUGUAGGGGGAAAAAUAGCCAGCUAAUUUCUACACUCUUCUGAUCCUGUUAUUUUCAUGACCACACUUCCCUGCAUUUUCUAGUUUCAGUUAGGGCUGAAAACAAUGUGCCAAAUUGCAGAAGUGUUUAUUCUCAGAGUGUUUCCCUCUCCACAGACAGAUAGGAAGUGGCUCUUUGUCUCACCCAGGUCCAGAGGCUCAUUGGACUUCUUGCCAUCUAGUAGAUGUUAUAGACUUGUAGAAAAUGAUCAAGCUUUAGAAACCCAGCUAGAAUUUGAGGUGAGUACUUAAACUGAACUUCAGAAAUAUUUAAAGGUUUGCCUCCUGAUGCCCUUUUCUGGCUUCAGCAGCUAGAAGCGUGAAAUGUUAAAUUGGACAACACUGGGCUAUAAAUAUCCAUGAUUCAUAUUUGAAUAGUUAAAGAUUUCAUCAUAAAACAAACGGUUCAGUUAAACCCUAUGCGAAAUGGUGAAAAGGCCCCAAUUAUGAAGACUCCCUUGUCUGCAAAGACCCAUCUUUAGCUGUUAUUAAACCCCUGUGUCAGUAUUUGAUAAUCUUGACCAUGAAGUUUGAAGAACAUUUCUUCUGGCUGCAUUGUCUCCAUAAAUGCAAACUGUCUGCACAGAUGCAAAGAGUACUAGACAAACAAUUGACAGAGAGGAGCUAAGCUGAGGAUACAUGAAAGUAUUGGAAUUUUUGAAAAACAUACAUUUUGCUUUUGAAAUUUUAAAUGUACUUUUAAAUAAAGAAGUAAGUUGCCAGGCACAGUGGCUCACACCUCUCAUCCCAGUAUUCUGGGAGGCCGAGACAGACAGAUCACUUGAGGUCAGGAGUUCAAGACCAGACUGGCCAACAUGACGAAAACCCAUCUCUACUAAAAAUACAAAAAUUAGGGUGGUGGCAGAUGCCUGUAAUCCCAGCUACUCUGGAGGCUGAGGCAGGAGAAUUACUUGAACUUAGGAGGUGGAGGUUGAAGUGAGCUGAGCUCAUGCCACUGCACUCCAGCCUGGACAACAGAGCGACGCUAAAUUGUUUUAGAUUACUCAAAAGAAAAAAACGUAGGCUUCCUUUGUUCUUUGUUGAGAAUAAAAAACAAAAUUCUCUGGAGGCAUCAGCCAUUCCUUCUCACAGUCUUAACCUUCACUUGAACAAAUGCCCACAUUUGCAUAACCAGUUACUAAAAUAAUUUUCAUAUUAAAGCAACCAUUUUUAAAGUGUCCUUUAUAGCUCUAUAGUUUCAGUCAAAGAUCACUUACUUGCUUUAGUUGUCAUUUCUCUUAGACCCAUUUAAUCAGGAACAGUCUCUCGUUCUUUUUCUCUUGCUCACUAAAGCAACCAUUAUUUACCUGCCAUACUACAUGACAAAAUAGUUUUAGAGUGAUUUUAUAAUUAUACUUUCCUGAUGCUGUGUUUUUUGUUGCCAAAAGUCAGAACUGCCAAUCUAACACAUAAUUUUAUGUGUAAGACAAGACUAAAAAUAGGUGAUUUUUUAAAAAGUUUGUCAUUUUAUUGUGUCACCCUUAGUAAAAUUAUAGCUCCAGAGCAGAUACUAUAAAAACAUUUUGAUAGGGUGGUUUUCUAUUAGCACUAUCAUGUUCUUUUAAUUCAAAUAUCAGAAAUAUCUGGAUCACUGGCAGAAUAUAAAAGAAAAAAAAUUGGCUAAAGGCUUGGGAAUCUUUUAAUCAAAUUUGUUUCUCAUGAUUACAGAAAUGCAGGAACACAUAUGAUUUUUUUUUUAAAGAAAGCAGUUGUUAUCUAUAAAAAUUCCUAGUCGUCUCUGCCAAUGUUUGGAGACAGUUUUAGCUGGGAGGAAAGUGAAGUUUAUCUUCACAGCAUCUGUUCACCUUUCUUUUCCCUUUUGUAAGUUGCUAUUUCUGUUUCUGGAAUAUUUAUGCACCCAUGCUCUCUUUUGGAACGCUUCUGAUAACCUCAUUUCUACUUAGAUGUUCACAUCUGAUAGUUUGUUGUUUUCUUUCCAGAGAAUGUAUUUUUAAGUCAAAAGAUUAAAUCUCUAAUGGUUGACUAUUGAUUAUAAGGAAACAGAAGAUAAUCUGGGAAAAGGUCAUUUCCCAAUGCCUCAGAAGUGAUCAAAUGAAUACCUAUCUUGGUAUUUCAAUGAAACACACUUUGAGAGAAAGCAUAUGAGUUGAAUGCAUUGUCUAUGUAUUACAUCCUGGUGAUAAAAUUGUCUUUUCUCACAUUUUAUUUUUUAUAAUACCAUUAUCCUCAUUUUAAAGUUCAGGGUUUAGCUUAUAAUAAUUUAGGAUUAAUCUGAAUUUAAUUAAAAGUAACCCAAACAAUAUUUUGUUUCAAUAUCUUUGCAUUUAAAGCAUCCAACCACUUGGAUGGCUAAAGCAUCUAUUCUGAAACGUUAAAUAAUAUGAAUAAUAACAACAAAAAUAUUAAUAUGGACAGUGUACCAAACACUAUGCUAAAUUAUUCUUAGGGAUUAUGGUUUUUAAUAUUUGCAGAGAACCAUAGGUUGAGGAAAUUAAUUCCUCCUUUCCACAGAGGAGGAACCUGAAGCUUGGAGAGUCCAAGCAAUUGGUUCAACUAUCAAACCAGAGAGUGGCAGAUUCAGAAUCUGAGCUUUUCCCUCCACAGCCCUUCAUUCCUGAUUGUUACAUUGUUGAUCUAAUUGCACACCUUGCCUAUUUUUAUUAAAUGCCCGCUGUGUACCAGGCACUGACCUCAGAUACUUAUAUACCUUUUCUUCCUCUUUUAAUCAUGCUUAAGUGACCUGUCCAAUUUUACACAGCUUAAGACUAGCAGAGCCAGGGCUCAGAUCCAGAUCUUAUGAUUUAAAGUUGAGUAGUGUUUCUACCACAGGAAGCUAAUCUCUCAAUCAAGCCAAGUAUGAUAUAAAGCAUGGAGAAAGUUAGAGGUGGGAUCUUCGAUGAUAAUCCCACUCAAAAGACUUUUGGGCUACCUUUAAAACAAAGGGAAGCAUAUAGUUCUCAAUUUUGCACUUACUGAACAAGGCAUUAAUGUAAAGUCAUAACUGAACUUUAUAGUUGCCAUGCAGAAUUUCUAAGUUAAAUAUUAUCCAUUCUAUAAUUUGGAACAAUUUAAGUGAGGAUAUUUUGUUUUUAGCAUUCAGAAACUGAUUGACUCAAUGUUAAAGUUUAGCUCUUUAGGGUAUUGUAUUUCCAGUAAUGAAUGAGGAGAAGGAAUUUUCUUGUGUAAUGAUACAGUUGUUGCAGGGCAGGCAAGCCCCAAAGUGCAGCUUAGCCUGCUGGGUUCUUGGCUUUCCCCAGGACAGAAUUCAAGGGCAAGCUAGAGGUAGAAGAACAAGAGUUACCGAAGAGGCAGAGUUACAGCAGCAAGACCACUCCUGCAGAGCCGGGCUAUCCAGCAGGCAGAGAGGAGCAUCUCCAGGCAGUGUUGGAGUCAUAUUUGUACCUACUUUUAAUUGCAUGCAGAUUAGGGGGUGGUUUAGGCAGAGAUUUCUAGGGAAGAAGUAGUAACUUUUGAGUCAUUGCCAUUGAAUGGGGAGAUAACUUGGGUGUGGCCAUGGCAACAGUAAAUUGACAUGGCAUACCUGUCUGAAAGAUGCUUUUACUUGUGCCCUGGUUUAGCUAGUCCUCAAUCUGGUCUGGUGUCCAAACCCUGUCUCUGGAGACAAGGGCCUCCUCAUACCACACAAUGAAAGGAAGAAAGAAUUUAUGGAAGGGAAUAUAAUUUUCUUGACUGAGACACUAGAUGAGAAUAGCAAUAGAGAGGAUAUAGUUAUUAUCACAGAAGCAAAUUGAUGACCAAAGAGAUCUUGGGUGGGUCUCACUAAAAUAACACCUCAAACUGGGAGACUGAUAGCAACUCCAAGUCACCAGGGUUUUACAUACUUGUCUUAAAGUUCCAUAUUUCUUUUCUUUGCAGUUUCUUUCCUUUGCCCUCAGUUAUUCACUGUCACUUCCCUAGCAGCUUACAUGGACCUCACUCAUGUCCACCGCAAUAUUUCCCCCGCAGGAAUCUGUAUACUAUCCUGUAUUCUGUAUUAAUGGAUCUUCUCCAGCUGCCAUCACUGAGCCUUGAGAGCUCUUAGGCAUGAGGGGUGGGUUAAGCUCCUGAUAUCAGAGGGGACUCUCUUUAUGGGAAAACAGGAAAGGGGGCACUAACUCUGCAUCCAGAACACCAGACUUAAAAUGAUUAUUUAGAUUAAUUAUCUUCUGUGACAAAUUGUUUUUUUUCUCUCUCUCUCUCUUUUUUUUCUUUUGAGUCGGAGUUUCGCUCUUGUUACCCAGGCUGGAGUGCAAUGGCGCGAUCUCGGCUCACCGCAACCUCUGCCUCCUGGGUUCAGGCAAUUAUCCUGCCUCAGCCUCCUGAGUAGCUGGGAUUACAGGCAUGUGCCACCAUGCCCAGCUAAUUUUUUGUAUUUUUAGUAGAGACGGGGUUUCACCAUGUUGACCAAGAUGGUCUGGAUCUCAUGACCUCGUGAUCCACCCGCCUCCGCCUCCCAAAGUGCUGGGAUUACAGGCUUGAGCCACCGUGCCUGGCCUGUUUUUUUUUUUUUUUUUUUUUCUUUGAGACAGUGUCUCACUUUGUUGCCCAGGCUGGAGUGCAGUGGCAUGAUCUUAGCUCACUGCAACCUCCGCCUCCUUGGUUCAAGUGAUUCAACUGCCUCAGCCUCCUGAGUAGAUGGGACUACAGGUGUGCACCACCACACCUGGCUAAUCUUUGUAUUUUUAGUAGAGAUGGGGUUUCAGCAUGUCAGCCAGGCUAGAACCUCUGACCUCAGGUGAUCUGCCAGCCUCAGCUUUCCAAAGUGCUAGGAUUACCAUGAGCCAACAUGCCUGGCACACACUGAUUUUUAAACUUCACACUUUCCCAUGCAGUAUAAAUGUAAUCUAGUUGUCACUGUAUUCGAUUCCUAGGGCUCCCUUAAACCAGAAAUUGGAUGACUUAAAACAACACAAAUGUAUUGUCUCACAGCUCUGGAAGACUGGAAGUUUGGGAUCAAUGUAUUGGCAAGGCCCUGCCCUCUCUGAAGGCUCUAGAAACAAACCCUUCCUUGCCUUUACACCUUCUUGUGGUUUCCGGCAGUCCUUGGCAUUCCUUGAUCAGAGCUGCACAACUCCAAUCUCUGCCUGUAUCUCCACACAGCCUUAUUCCCCUUUCCCGGUGUGUGUCCUCUCCUUUUUUUAUGAGCAUGUCAUCAUUGGAUUUUGUGCCCAUUUUAAUCCAGUCUGAUCUCAUUUUAACUAAGUACAUUCUGGGGCUCCAGGCAGACGUGAGAUUUGGGAUACACUAAUCAACCCUCUACAAAAUAUUGGUCUGCGUUUAGGCUCUUGUGUAGCACUCUGGAUGCAGUGGUGAGCAAAAAUCAAUGUGGUUCCUGUCCUCGUGGAUAUUGCAGUCUAGCAAGGAAAUUAAGUAUACAUCAAAUAAUUAUGAUAGCAAGAGUACUGAGUUUAUUAAUUGAUUGGUAUUUCUCACAGUUCAUAGUAUUAAUAAUCAGAUGACAUCCAAACUCUGAUCUUCAAAUGCCAUUUACCACUAAAAGAAGCCGAGGUAUUUUGGUGAAAGGUCUGAUUCCCAGUUUGGAGUAAUAAGUAGACUAGAUAUUUAUCUUGUCACAGAAAAGAGUAAGGAAAUCAACAAAGACUACUGGGUUUGUAUCAAAAAGUCUCAGAAGCCAACUUGAAGAGGCUUCUAGUGGCCAAAGAUGAGACAAUCUGAGCAACAACAGGAAAUCAUGAAAACCACAUAGAAACACAUCACAUGUUAAAAUUCAUCACUACAAAAUGAUAUUCAAACUUUAGAGGAUGAUAGGAAACCCACUUAUUAUUCUAAAAAUGUAUUAUUUGUGAAGGAAUUAAGCAUUUAACUUGCUUUUCCUGAGUAAUGCCUUCAGAAUGACCAGAGCUGGUGAAGAAAGAUUUCUACACAUAUGUGUAUGUGAGCUAAUAUAUUAUGAAGGAAUGACAAAAUAUUACCGUAUUUUAAACCCCUCAUGAAAUAAUAGAUCUAGGCACUAAUCACUGAUGGCUAGUAAUAUCACUGAAAGAAAGACAACUGGAUAUAAUGUGCCUAUACAAAACAUUCUGCCCCAAAUUUGAAUCUGAAUUAAGUCAUGCUUCUUAAGGCUAACUAUCAAUUUACAGGAACACAUUAAAUGACACAGAGAGGCAGCAGCAAAAUCUUAGAAUAUUAUAAACCAUGCAGGAAUCAAUGAUCUGGUUUCCUUAACAAGUGAAUUGCCAGAAAAUAAACCACAUAUUGUAUUUGUUUGAUAGUUUUUUUAUCCUUUUCUAUUAGAAGGCCCUCACUAUGGGCCUUCUAAUGGAAAGGGAUGAAAAUACAAUACACAUACAAUAUGUGGUUUGUUUGGAUUCAUAUUCAAACCAGCUCAAACAAACAUAUUAGACAGUAAGGGAAAUUUGGACACAGUAUGAAUAGUUGAUGAUGUUAGAAAGUAUUGCUUUCUCUUGGAGAAGUAAGGAUGAUGAUAUUUUAACUAUGUUUAUUUUAUUUUAUGUUAUUUAUUUUUUAAAUUUGAGACAGGGUGUUGCUCUGUCUCCCAGGCUGGAGUACACUGGUGUGAUCACAGCUCAUUGCAGCCUUGACCUCCCAGGCUCAAGCAAUCUCCCACUUCAGACUUCCAGGUAGCUGUGACAACAGAUGGACACCACUAUGCCCAGCUUUUUUUUUUUUUCUUUUAAUUUUUUAUUCUUUGUAGAGACAUCUCACUUUGUUGCCCAAGCUGGUCUUAGACUCCUGGGCUCACGUAAUCUUCCCACACUGUUGGCAUUACAAGGGUGAGCCACUGUGCCUGGCCUGAUACAUUGACUAUGUUUAAAAAAAGAGUUAUUAUCUUUUUGCAAUGCAUACUGAGAUAUUUAUGAAUGAAAUCGUAUACUAGUGGAGAUUUGCCUCAAAAUAUCCCACUUGUGGAUAAGAGAAGAAGCAGAUGGGAGAAAAGAUGAAACAAGCAGGAGCCAAGAGCUGGGUUUUGUAGCUGGGUGACAGGUGCAUGGAGACAUCAUACUUUACUCUUUUUUUUUUUUUUUCGUAUCUUCUCCUUUGUCAAUGAAAAGUAAGAGAAGAGAGAAAUUAAAAAACAUCAAUUAGAAAAUAGAAGAGAGCCCUCUCUGGUGAAUUCCUGCUUCUCCUUCAUGUCGUCAUAGCUAUUGAUGGCACUUGCCUCUGGAUAAUGCUGACUUCCUGUAGGUUGGGCACCAAGGCAACACACUAUUCUGUUGUGUCUCCAGGCAGGAAACAUGCAGAGUUAUGAGGUUGGCCUCCCUUGAGGUCUUUUAAGAGUUGAAUUAUCAAGUACCGUAGGAAACUGUGAAAGAAGAUGAAGGCCACAGGAAACUGUGAAGAAAGCUGUCUACCUUUGAUGUUUUAUUUUUUUUUGUUCUUUUUUUUUUAUUUUUUCACUUAUAUGCUUCUUAAAAGAAAAGGAAUAGAGAAAUCCUGGGAGAGAAAGUAUAUGGUGCAUAUGAAAAUGGAUACCAAAUUUUUUUUCCUGGACAUAAAAAUAAUUAGGCUAAAAAAUAAGUCAACAGUUUAAACAAUAGUUACUUGAUGUUUUAAAAAAGUCAUUGUGUACAUACUAUCUUUGAGUGAACAAUCAAUGUUUGCUUAUCACAAUACCAAUAUCAUUGUGAAUAUUCCUUUUUUUCUUGAAAUUAAUUGCUACUUGAAACUGGAGUCAAAUAAGAGUUGAAUAUUUGUUUUUAAAUUAAGUGCUUUCUACAUUGUUUGAUGACUCUAUAAGAAAUUAAAUUUAUAAUCAUCGCAGAGUCUGUCAGAAAUAUCUUCUGGUGAAAAAGAUUUUAUUAUGAGUUACAUACGCUGCUGUAGGCACAGGAGAAGAGGUAGCGGAAAUAUCAGUAUCUACUUAUUGUUACAAAAUAUUAAGCACAAGUGACUAUCAUAAGAAUAAACAAAAUCAUAAACUUAUUAGUAUCUACAUCAGCGGUGGCUCAAGCCUAUAAUCCCAGCACUUUGGAAGGCUGAGGCGGGUGGAUCACGAGGUCAUGAGAUCGAGACCAUCCUGGUUAACAUGGUGAAACCCCGUCUCUACUAAAGAUACAAAAAAUUAGCUGGGCAUGGUGGCACGUGCCUGUAAUCCCAGCUACUCGGGAGGCUGAGGCAGGAGAAUUGCCUGAACCCAGGAGGCGGAGGUUGCGGUGAGCCGAGAUCGCGCCAUUGCACUCCAGCCUGGGUAACAAGAGUGAAACUCCGUCUCAAAAAAAAAAAAAAAAAAAAAAAAAAUACAUCAAUAAGUAUGCCUUAAUAAAAUAUAAAUUGUGGCAAUCGGGCAAGAAAGUAAAUAUGCUGACAACACCUACAUGUAUUCCAGAUUUAACCUUUCUCUUGUGCUCUAAAAUGACAAAUUGACUUUUGGACAUUUCCACCUGGAUGACCUUCCCACAAACAAUGAAAAAUCAAUACACUUAAUUGAGUUCAAUUCCACAUUUAUUUAUUGAACCCCUUACAGGGGAUGUGUUAGGAGCUGAGGACACAGAGAUAACUAAGAUCUAGCCUCUCAUCUGGAGAGAUCACAAAACACAUUGGUUUUCCACCAAAACUUUCACUUUCUUUUGAGCUUCAUGUCUUAAUUGAUGGCAGCACACAAUCCCCAAAGUGAGAAACAUUUGAAUCAUCUUUGACUUACUUUGCUUUCAACCCAUUUCCAAUUCUUUCUAACUUGCUUCUAAAAAUUAUCUGAUUCUGUAUCCCCUCUUUCAGUUCUGUUACUGACUGGUUUUGCACUUGACUAUUUUUCUCCUGGACUAUUCCGACAGCCUCCCAACUGGUUCCUCUGCUUUCAAACUGUUCCCUUUCCUAUCACCCACCCACUGCCCUACCAGAGUUGCUUCAUGAAAACAAAGAUCAUCCUCUAUUGCUCUUCUGCUCUAAAACCGUUUCUAAAUGUCUUCUGUGCAUCUUUGAAAUCUGCAGGACGGUCUGGGCACGGUGGCUCAGGCAUGUAAUCCCAGUGCUUUGGGAGGCUGAGGCAGGCAGAUCAUCUGAGGUCAGGAGUUCAAGACUAGCCUAGGCAACAUGGUGAAACCCUGUCUCUACUAAAUAUACAAAAUUAGCUGAGUGUCAUGGUGCAUGCCUGUGAUCCCAGCUACUUGGGAGGCCAAGUUAGGAGAAUCCCUUGAAUAUGGGAGGUGGAGUUUGCGAUGAGCCGAGAUCUCACCAUUACACUUCAGUGUGGGCAACAAGAAUGAAACUCCAUCUCAACAACAAAAACAACAACAACAUCAACAAAAAAGAGAAAUCUGCAGGACUUUCUGCAAGUGGUCAUACGAAGGCCUGCAGAGGACAUGCAGGUGACCCAAGGGUGAGAAGACCUGUACUCUAUUGAAAGGGACAGAACUACUCCACUCCAGCCCUUUGACUGUGCAAGUCCAAUUUUGUCUAAACUUUUCUUUUUUUAUCAGCAGCUAGAAAUGCUGAUUUCUUACAUCUCUUUGUUUUAAAAUAUUGAUGUGUAUUUUAAAACCACUUUGUGGGCCGGUUUAUGACCCACUGCUUUUGUGCCUGGAACUUCACAUCAUUUUGUAGUGUGGCAAACUUCUAUUCAUCUGUUCUUAGGACACAGAGUAAUUGUUGAUUUCAUUCAAAAAAUAUAGAUAGGUAAAAGCAAGCAACCAAAAAGACAAACUCUAUAACUUCUAAGCUAAUCAAAGAAAAAUGAAGAAAACAAAUUAUAUAUGCAAUGGAAGAUGAAAAAGAAUGGAAAAAUUAAGAAACUUAUGAACAGAAAACAAAAUAGUAUGCAUAAGUUCAAAUACAUUAGCAUUUUUAAUAGAUGCAAAUAGAUCAGUCUUCUAUUAAAAUAUAGAGUUUAUCAAAGUGGGUUUAAAACAUUUAGCUAUAAUUUAUGAGAUAAACCUAAUACAGACUAUAUUAAAAAGAGAAAAAUUCAAGGAUCAAAAGAGAUGCAUUAUAAAUAUACCAAUCUAAUAAAAGCUGAUAUAGCAAUAUUAGUAUCAGUCAAAAAUAGAAAUUUAAGGCAAGGACAUUAAUAGUGAAACGAGAUGGUUUUCUUCUAUAGGUCUUGUGUAUUUCUUGUUAACUGAUUUUUAGAUAUUUUAAUUUUUUAGUUGCUGUUAUUACUAGCAUCUUCCCUUUUAUGAUAUUUUUCUCCAGUUUUUUUUUUUUUUUUUUUGCACUUGGUCAAACAAUGGAUCUAAUGUCUGUUGUUCUUAACUAGGUACAUUAUUGCAUUCUCUAAUUGUUUGUAAUCUCUUUGAGUUUGUUUUCUUAGAUAUUCUUGCCUUAACUCCUAUUUCUUGCUCUUUCCUCACUGCAUUGACUCAUUACCUCCAGAAAACAACGAUUAAAGAAGUCAGAUAGUAGUGGUGGUGGUAGAAUCUUUCUUUUGCUCCUUAUUAUAGUGAGAGUGCUACUAAACACUCUCCUUCCCAGUUAAUCGAUAACAAACAGACUAAGGCAGCAUUAAAAAAAUCAGACAAUAGAAUUUUGACUAAUGAAGACUAAAUUAUCUGUUAUAUCCAUACAGGUAAAUACUGUAAAUUCACCUGAUAAACUUAAUUUUCAGGUUGAAUCAAAAUACUAACUAAAUAAUUAAUAGAAAAGGCAUAUUCAAAACAGUAAUUCAAAGAGAUUAAAAAGGCAGACAAGAAAAUAGAAAGUAAAUGCUAAGCAAUAAAAGAUGGAGUUGGGAUAUUAACAUCACACCCUCAAGGCGAAAGUAUUAAUGAGACACAGAAGUGUAUUUUAAGAAUAAUGAAGGGAAAAAUCCACAAAUGGAUGUGACUGUUUUAAAAUUUAUGCAAUAAAUACCAAAAAUGAGAAGCCAAAGCUGGCAUCAGGCUCUACCAUCUUUGUGAGGUGUGUGUAUCCUAUACCAUGAUCAGAGGAAAUAAAACCACACCACGAACUCUGUCUUAGAGAAACCGCAAAAUAUAAGAACACCAAGUUUCCUCAAGAAACAAAGCUGUGAGGCUCUCUCCUGUGUUUCUAACCCCAUGGGAGACCAACUUUAUCUCUGACCUCUAAAGAGGCACAGUAAUUCCUGCAGAUAUGAAAAUCAUGUCAGGGAAAACAUCCUUUUCACCACCAACAAGAAAAAUGAACACACUAUAACUUCAUGAGUAUUUUUUAUUGCUUUGAAUAUUGGCUCCUUCCUCUAUUCAGGAAACUCAGUUUUUCUGAAGGCUGGCACCUGCAAACAUUACAAAUAAAAAUGUUGUUCUUAAUAAUUCAAAUUUUUCUUUGAAUUUCACUUUUUUCUAAGAAAUAGGGUCUUGCUCUAUUAUCCAGGCUGGAAUAUAGUUGCAGGAUCAUGGCUAACUGCAGCCCUGACCUCUUGGUCUCAAUCCUUCUUCCUCAGCCUCCCUAGUAGUUGGGGACCACAAAUGCACACCACUGUGCCCUACUAAUUUUUUAAAAUUCUUUCUUGUAGAGGUGGUGUCCUACUAUGUUGUCCAGGUUGGUCUCGAACUUUUGGCCUCAAGCAGUCCUCCUGCCUAGGCCUCCCAAAGUGCUGGGAUUACAGGCAUGAACCACCACACUCAGACCAAUUUUUCUUUAUUGUAACAUCAAAGUAUAUAAAGCAGGAAAAGUAGAUAACAUAAGGAGAAAUGGACAAAAACAGAAUGAUGAUGCAAUAUGAAAUCACCUUUUUUGACCCAAGACAAAUUAGGGAGAUAAAAAUAAAUAAAGAUGCCUAACACUGGAAACAUAUCAUUAUAGCUAUAUUAGAAAAAUAUACUUUAGGUAUUUAUCAACUUUGUCACUGUUGAUUGCCCAUGAGAAAGAUGAAGAUAUUGGUGGAUGUCAACUGCCUUCUCUCAGUGACUCCACAUUUCGAGUUAUUUGUAUUGCUACUGUUAAAUUUUAGCAGGAAGUUAAAUAUUGCUAAAUUAUCUAAAUUUGGCAUUUCCCUUAUAACUCAAUUUUGCACACAUCUGUUUACGGCUCAUCACUAAUCCCUUUGCGUGGAUUCUCUAGUCAUCUCUUACCAGGUUAUCAAGCAGCAUUUCUUUUUUUUUUUUUUUGAGACAGAGUUUCACUCUUUUUGCCCAGGCUGGAGUGCAGUGGUGCAAUCUCGGCUCACUGCAACCUCUGGCUCCCAGGUUCAAGUGAUUCUCUUGCCUCAGCCUCCUGAGUAGCUGGGAUUACAGGCAUGCACCACCACGCUCAUCUAAUUUUUUCUGUUUUUCGUAAAGAUGGGGUUUCUCCAUGUGUGUGAGGCUGGUCUUGAACUCCUGACCUCAGGUUAUCCACCCACCUUGGCCUCCCACAAUGCUGGGGUUACAGAAGCAUCCUUUUUUUUCAAGAAGCACUUCUAGGUCUUCUCUCCUCUUAAGUUGUCAAGUGUUUGAGAGUCUCUGGCUAAGGAUAGUAUAGUUGUUGAGAGUGUAAGGUAUGUAGAAAGGCUGCUUUGUUUGAAUCUAGCUUUGCCACUCACUAUGUGACCUCGAACAAGGAACUUUGCUUAAAUUUCUUUAUUCUUAAUAGAGGACUAUCUAUAUGUGCUCUUGUUUGUUGACCCACUCUAUUUCAGCCCCAGAUGAACCCUCAGCCCUGCCCUACGUCAUUCUGUACCCCAGAGGGCUGACUUCUGCUCUUGGCAUCAUUUGGCCUGGUUGACCCACUGGCUUCAACUGGGUUUGGCCAAUGGGAAGCACUUGGAGGGAAUCAUACGGUAGGAUGAGAGAAGUGAGCAUUAUUUCCCUGAUUUCUCCCCACCUCAGGUGUCUAUCUUGGGGAGUAACUAUAUCCCUUGUGAGUAUGGUUCUUGCAGGUGACCACUUCAUCAAUGAUCCAGUGCUCCUUGGACGCUGAUAACACAUUAAUGGUAUUCCACUGCUCUUCUUCCCUGGGCACCUCACCAGGUCUUGUUGUUUCUUUAAUGAUGAUUAACUUUCUAAGCACUGCCCUUAUUAAAGUUUCUUCAUUUGAAGUAUUUGGGGAGAACUGCGUUACCUGUCAGAAUUCUUAUUGACACAGUACUCAGGACCAGGAAUGACUUUAAAAAUAGAAUUCUGAGAAACCCUAAUUGCUCAAGGUUGCUUAAUAUCUUAGGCAAAUUCACAGAUGACCUCCAUUCUUGAGAACUCACAACACUAGCAGUAGGUAUGUGAUGUGGUAUCAUCAUCUCUUGAAUGAUCAUCAUAGCGGUGUGAGAUGGAGAGCCAGCAGAGGACAAGACUUUGGAAAAUUACCAGGCCGUUGUACCCCCUGAUAUUGUCACAAUGAUGACGACACAUGUUUCAGUGGUGUAAGUUACUCUGACUGUGCCAGAGAACUUGUAUAAAGAUAAUAUUAAUAUAUUGCUUUAUCUUUAAUUCAAGACAAAAGUGGAGAACCAGGAAGGUUCUGUGGAGGUCUUAACAGACCUAUAGCUGCAGCACAGAAACGAAUAAGGAUUAGGCCUAACGCUGACUUCCAUGGUUGCAGAAUUACAACUCUAGUUAAAUGUACGAUCUCUGUAAAUCUCUUGUGUUAAGGUUAGAACCCAGGAUGAGAACAAAUGAGAUUCUGAGACUUAAGAUAGAGACAUUUGUGCAGACACAAUUGUGUACAGUAGUUGCUUAAUAUUUGCAGAGCAGGUGAAUGCUCACUGAUGACUAUGAACUGAGAGAGAAAAUUGUAUACUGAGUCUGGGUUCACCUCCAGGUCCCAUUACUUUCUACCUAUUUGACCUGGGAGAAUCGUAUCCUGAAUCUUUCUCUGCUUUAGCCUCCUGACUUGGGCCUGGGUGACUGAAGGUCCACAUUUCAUAUCCAUAAGUCUCCAGUGCAGAAGGCUCCAAAAACCUUACCAUCUUACUAAAUUUGGCACAAGCUCAUUUGGUGGCAAAAACUGGCCUGAUCUGAAUUGAUAUGAGCUAUAGAAUAGAAUUAAUUUUUCUAACAUAGUGUGAAUAUUCAUAGACUUCACUGCAAAAAUUAACUUGUUUGAACACAGGGGGCUUCUUCGGGACUUGUGAAUUUUAUGUGUUAUAUAGCACAUCUAUCUCAUUCACUCUCUAAAAGCUAAAAAGGAUUUAAAUUUCAAGAAACAUUUGGCUCCAAGGUUUUUGAAUAUGGGAUAGUAUACCACUAAUAGUACCUAGCUUGUUGGGUGGUUGUGUGGACUCAAUACAGGUAAGGCUCUAAUGACAGGCAUGCAGUAAAUAAUAAAUGCUCACUUUCCUUAGCAUUAUAAAGUCUUUCCCCCGCUGAUAUUGUGGGAGUGAGAACUGUUUAACUCCUUUACCGUCUCAUUUGAGACUGCUUGUGUCGCUGAGACCUUGCUGUGGAGGCUGGGUCCAGUGUGUUGUGCCUGUUUUCUGUUGCUACAGGGACAGGGAAGAAAAGUGCUGAUCAGGACUUGGUUUGUGAAUGUGAUGUUUGCUUUCACUAUUCCAAGUUGGUCUAAAGCCCUGUCCAGAGUUUACCAGUUUACCUAUCUUGAGGUCUUGUCCGAGGCUGAGGGAGAUACCCAGCUUGGGGUGAGGCCUGGAAACUGGGGUUUGCAUAGAGACAAGGUGCACUUCUUCCUCUUCACCUGUGUCUCCUCAAAAGCUCUUCUUUCUUCCAAAGAAACAGGUGAAACUUGUGGGCUGAACCCACAACAUCAUCAUUUGCUGGAAGAGAGUAGCACUGCAAUUUGGGUCCUUUGUGGCUUCUCGCCUUGGGCUCUCACACCAUGAGGGGAACUUAUUUUAUUCCUUUUCUGUUCAUAUAUGUUUUUGGUUUUGAUCUCUGUUUUGUUAGAUACAUCUAUUUUGUUGGCUAUAAUUAGCUCUAGGUGAUUGUGAAUAGACCACGUUCUGUCUGCAGCUUCGUUUUCAGCUAGAAAAAACAACAACAAAAGACACAAAUAGUGAGCUCUGAAGAUUUUUUUUUAAUUGAUUCUGGAGAGAUACUGGUGGGUUUUUAUGUUUCUUUUCUUUGGGCUUGGAUGCCUUUAGUCUUCUUCCUGCUUUGGAAGUAUUACACAUAUGUAUGUUAUGCAUAGGGUCAACAGCAUUUCCCUUCACAAGGCUAAUCUGGCUUCCAGUGUUGAUUAGUGUCAAACCCACCUACGGCAGAGGCCAAUACUGAGCUCCCAGUAUGGCUCCAUUCUUCAGGAGAAUGAGCCAGACACCUAGUGGUAAAUUGAAUAGGUUGGUUUCUUACCAUUAUGGAGGGGGUAGCUGUCCUUAUAAGAGUCACAUUCUGGAUAGAGAUCAUGCUUCUCAUAAAGUGAGCAGAAGCUGUAUUUCUUCCUUGGUUUGAUGACUACUGAUUUAUUUUUUAUGUCGUUUUACCUAAAAUUCGUAAGUUUCUUUAGCUGUGCUGGGAGAAAAUCUGUGAUGGUUUCACUGUGCCAGCUUAGUCUGAAAAAUCUCAUCUACUGAAUUAUCUGUUACAGUAAGAAGGUAUGUUGCCCUAGAGGCCGUUCAUAGGAAUUCAUAGAUAAGGGUAAUUAGACACAGGUAGUUAACUAUUUUGUGCAGAAUGAAGAUGAAAGAAGCCCACAGAUUUGAGCCCUACCAAGUGGCACAGCGACUUUACUCAACCAAGACGCACCAGUCAUUCCUUCCAUGCAUUUAUUUAUAGCAUUCAUGUUCCUUGAGCACCUACUAUGAGCUGGGGAUCUGGAGAUAGAGCAGAACGAUGAAAGAAACAUAAAUUCCUAAUUUUAUUUCUAUUGGAAAAAAGAAACCAGCAUAAACAAAUAUGUAUAUCAUGUAGCGUAUUAGAAAAUGUAAGAGCUAUGGAAAGAAAGAAAUUGGGGAAGGUGGAGAGUGCCACAGAUGGGGAGGUUGCAAUUUCCCCUAUUUGGGAAAAUCCUUACUGAGAAGCUGAUAGUUGAGAAGAUUUGAGAGAUAGAAGGAAGUAAAUCAUGCAUAUUUCUGUGGAGAAGAACAUUCCAGGCAGACAGAAUAACAAGGUUACAUUUUCUUUUUCCUCCUUUCUUCUGGAUAUAGCAAAAAAAAAUCACUGCAAUGAUCUGAGCUGCUCAGAAAAUUGUUCCAAUUCUUCACUUUACUAUCCAUGUAUUACAUAGCCUGAAGGGGCUGCAUACUUUAGAGCAAUUAUUAGUAUUUAUAAUAAAAAUUUUAGUAUGCCUUUUGGCUAUAUAAGAAUGAAUAUGCAUAAAUCAGUAACUGUCAAUACAUGUUCUGAUAGAUUUCACCGGGUGCUUAUUUUUCUUUGAGUUACCACCUGCAGGUGGUUGGUUUGAAGCCCAAGCAGAGGAGCGGAGUGGUCCUAUGCAGAGACGUGCUCCAUGAGCUUGCAAACAGCUGCCAGAUUCUUUCUUUCUUUUUUUUUUUUUUUUUUUUUAUUUCAAGCAAAAUAUCUGGGUCUUUUCUGUUUGUAUCUUGUUCCCUCUUUGAAUGACCAAGUGAUGGUCCAUAUUUGCAUUGUGAUUUCUUCUCUAGCCUUUGCAUAGGUCUACUUUAGAAAGCAGAGAAAGAUAAUCUAAAAAAAAAAAACAGAAACUUUUUCUCCAGGCAUUUAAAUGGUUUUGCCAGUUUAUUUCAAUUUGAAAGUAAGUUAUUCUCUGACAAAUAUACAUGUUGCUUUUUCUGAGAAAGGAUUUAAUAAAUAACUUUCAAUGUAUGUCUGGUUCUUCUUGAAAAAGACAUCAGUAAAACAGUAUUUGGAAUUUUAAACAAUGACCUAAAAAUAGCUGAGGGACUGUACUCCCAUUUGGGAAAAAAAUCGCUAUCAAAUGACUUUUUUUUAAUAUCAUUCUGAGCAUUACAUAAAGCAAAACCAAUUCACAGUAACGUAGUAUAUUCUCAAAAGCAAAAUCUCUAGUCAUUUCUAGCUCUAGACCCUGGAGACCUCAUUAUAUUGCCAUCUGAAACAGAUCUGUUCCAAGCUGUUUAUUCCUUUAUUCAAGUGAGUUAAACAAGCAGUACAGCAAUUGCCAUGCAGAUAUACUCACUAGUUGCUGGUAUAUAUGUUCACAUGUACAAAUACAUCCCAUGUACCUCACUUUAUGGAAUACAGAUAUUUUUGAAAAAUUGUGUUCAAAUUUAAUUGUGUCUCAAAGGUUUUACACCACCGAUUCUCACAGGGCACACUCCUCGAGCAAGUUUAUCAGAAUCACUGGUCUUUGUGAAAAUUCUGUGUUGCACUCCAGCCCAUUUCUGUUACAUCCUUUGAGGAAGAAUGGGUCUUCUCCUUUCAGCCCUCUGGUUUCCAUUGAGGGUAAGAAUCUCUGUAAGAAAUGACUGUUCUUGUUUGGAGAAUGUGACAGGCCUCACAAAUGUUGGCACGAACACAACGUUGAAAACUACAGUGAGACUUCCUUCUCUUUCGUUCUACAAAAUCUGGUCUGAUCUUCAGUCCUAAGGCACUUGCCACAAGACAGUGUAAUUCUUUGUUCAGAAUGUGUAGACCCUCCUACUGGGAACAUCUUGCAGACAGAAUGGCGAUUUCUCACUUUGUAAUACCGUGUACAACAUGGUCAAUAUAUUUGCUCAACAAAUAUUUAUCAAGUAGAUGAAUGAAUAAUUUUGAAGAUACUACAUUUUGGUCUGGUGUGGUGGCUCACGCCUGUAAUCCCAGCACUUUGGGAUGCUGAGGCAGGCAGAUCCCCUGAGGUCAGGCAUUCAACACCAUCCUGUCCAACAUAGUGAAACUCGAUCUCUACCAAAAUUACAAAAAGCAGCCAGGCAUGGUGGCAUGUGCCUGUAGUCCCAGCUACUCGGGAGGCUGAGGCAGGAGAAUCACUUGAGUCCUGGAGGCAGAAGUUGCAGUGAGUAAAAUUCAUGCCACUGCACUCCAGCCUGGGUGACACAGUGAGACUCCUUCUCAACAAACAAACCAAAAAACCCCCCAAAAAUAUAAAAACUGCAUUUUGAGAAAUAAAAGGUUAGCUUGAGCCUUAGGGGAUUUAAAAUUAAUGAGCAGAAUUAAGCAUACUUAUGUUCAGAGGAAAAACAAAUCUUGGGUUAAAACAUCAGUUUUCUAAGAAGAAUAAAUCCUACUAGAUGAGGCACCAUUUUAAUUUGGUGAGCACAUUGAUGUAUUUGCAUAUGCACAUAUAAGGCUGAUGCUGAUUUUGAGAUUAAAACCUGGAAGGAAUUGAAUGUUCCAUCAAACAGAAUGAAAAACAAUGGGAGUUUCUAGUAGGUGCUCCAGAAGCGAAGGGGGAGGAAUUGAGGAUGACAGACAGGGGUGGGCGAGAGGAGACAGAGAGAGACUAAUGAAGUGAAGAUGGGUGCUGCAAAGUGUGAAAUGGCCUGUGAGACCCUCAAUAGAAAUCCCCAGAUUUCAAUAUUGUGUUACCCUUUGAAGUGCUAUGAAGUAGACCCUUGCUGUGUCUUCUCCAUUAUUUAGUAAUGACUGUUCAAUCCAGAUCUGUGACUACAAGGUGUACACAUUCAUUUGAUAUAGGAUAUAUGUACAUAUUUCUGAAUCAGUAUGGUACCAAAUAGCAACUGACUAGGCAUUUUUAUAACUGUGAUGUAAGUCUCUUCUGUUUUUGAAACUUUUGGUUAAGUUUGUCGUUUACACAACAUCUCAUGUGAGUGGGGUUUAUUUGCUUAUUUGGUUGGUUUUGUUUUGUAGACUUCAGGACAGGGACUGAGUUCCACUUCUGGAUUGACCAUAGGCAGAACUGGCACAGCAGCAUAAUAGAAACAGCAUGCAUAGGAGAGAAAGAUGACCCACAUCUGAAUUAAGCCCAUGGAAGAAGGGUUUCAGAGCCAGAGCACAAUACUCCCCCAGGAAUUCAUUGGAAUCUUGUGGUAUGUCAAGGAGUAAGGUUUGAGACAUACUUAGAUCUUAAUGGGUAGACAGGAUCUAGCUGACAUCUGAGUUACAGAUACAUGAAAAGAAGAAAUUGAAAUUAUAGUGUAAUAUAUUAUAAAUGGCAGAUAAAUGACAGAUAGAAUAAAUAGCAGAGAAGUUCAAAGUCGGGGAAGCCAUUUGAGCUGAGGCAGAUGGUAAGGUUUCUUGAAGGAAUUAGGACUCAAUGUGAAUCUUGUGAAAGAAAAGAUUUCUGAUAAGGGAUUGUUAUUCAUAAUAUUAUCUAUUAUGUUAACCCUCUUUUGAUUUUCUCAUAAAUAUUUGGCUUCUAGAUUAUGUCAAGCAGCAUGCUAGACUGUCCAGAUAUAAAGAUCAUUAAGACAUAAUCUUUGUCCCCAAGGAACACAAAACCUAAGGGCAAAAGCAAUUUCAUAAGCAAGUAAUGAUACUAUCUUACAAUAGAAAGAGUCUUAUAGCAAUACAUGAGCAAAAAUCCAUGAAAGAUUACACGCAGGCAUAAUGCUUUCUGCGUGGGUUAUUUUAGGGAAGAUUUCACUAAGAACUUGAUAUGUGAACUGGGCUUUGUGAGAUGCAUGGACCAUGACUAGUUAGAGAAAAAGAAAGGAUAUUUUAAUCAAAAGGAAUCAUGUGAGCAAAUCUAGGAGACUUGAAGCAUGUGGGUAUGUAAAAUAUGGUCAAGUCCCAUGUGGCUGAAGCAUAGGGAGCACGUUAGGAGAAGAGAAGGAGCUGAAAAGUUUGAACGGCAUUAUUUAUAGGUAGCAAGGAGUCAUUGCAAGUUUCUUAGUUGGAAAGCGCAGUUGAAUUCAUUUUGGAAAGAUGACUGGGGAUGAUGGCAGCAAAAGAAGAUAAUUUAAUGGCUACCAUUUCCCUGUAUUUACUUGCUAAGUAAACAUUCUGAGUAUUUGACACAUAUUAACUGCUCACAGCAAUGGUAAGAGGUAGAUCUUAAGUUUUUUAACUUUUAUUUUACAUUCAGGGAUAUGCGUGCAGGUUUGUUAUAUGGGUAAACUCAUGCCACGGAGGUUUGUUGUACAGAUUAUUUUGGCCUCCAGGUACUAAGCCGAGUACCCAGUAGGUAUUUUUUCUGCUCCUCUCCCUCCUUUUACCCUCUACUCUGAAGUAGGUCCCAGUGUCUGUUGUUCCCCACUUUGCGUUCAUGAAUUCUCAUCAUUUAGCUUCCACUUAUAAGUGAGAACAUGCGCUAUUGGGUUUUCUGUUCCUGCGUUAGUUUGCUAAGGAUAAUGGCCUCCUGCUCCAUCCAUGUUCCUGCAAAGGACAUGAUCUCAUGCUGUUUGAGAUGGAAUACUAUGGCUGCAUAGUAUUCCAUGCUAUAAAUGUAUCACCUUUACUUUAUCCAAGGUAGAUCCUAUUAAUCCCGUUUUUUAGAUGGGAGAGUUAUACUGGUUCCAUAGCAAAUAAGUGGUGGACUCAGGUUUGAUUUCAUCCUGUCUGAUUGCAGACUAUGUACUCCUAAAUGCUACAGUGAACUGCAUCUUAAAAUUCUAAAACCAAGGCAAAAGUCCAAGAUAGAGAUUAUGAGAUUCUUAAACUAGGAAAUUAUAUACAAGAAUGGUAAAAUGGGGAUGGAGCCCAAAACCACUACUGGGAGUGUGGGGGAAAGAAGUGACAAAGAUGAAUCAGUUUUCUUGUUUGGGUUGCCAGGAUAUGGUGAAGAUAUUAACCCAAAGAGACACACCGAUUUACCGGUAUAUACAAACUUUUCAAUAUAUCAUGGUCUUUAUGCCCCCAAUAGGUAACCAAAUGGAGACAUUGGUAGUACUAUUUUAGUAUGUAUGGAUAACCUCAAAGUCAUGGAAAGAAUACAAGGCUGAUGUUACAAAACGUUGGAUCAAAUUUAAGUGUGUUACACAAUGCCAAAAAUUCAAGUAGAAAGGAAAGAUUCAGUUAAUCAAUCACUUCAUUGUUUGGUGUCACCUAAUGAGAACAUCUGGAAGAAGCAAUGAAUUUCACUUUUAGUCUAGUUUCUCUGCCAUUAUGUACGGCCACAUUUAAGAAAUGAGGCCAACCUCAGAGAUACGUAUGCGGAGAAGCAGGCAAUCAUAGCAUCUGUGUCUGUCUCUGUACUGUAGAAACAUUCUUAGCCCCUGGCAUGCGCAUAUAGAUUGCUGAAUUUCAUGAAAUAAGAAAAAUAAUGAUACUUCAUAUUGGUGUAAUGCUUAACAUGGUUUCAGUACUUUCCCAGAAAAAAAAUACAAGCCAAUAUGCACAUGUAUUCCCAGAUAAUUAGUAUUAUAGCAGCAUGUCUGACUCUUUAAUAAUUCUUUGUGUUUCUUGAAUGUCCAUAGUGUAUUUGGAACUGAAAUAUAGGGAUUAAAGGGAGUUCAGUAAAGUCAAAUCACAUGUGUUUUGCUCCUUGCAUAUUUUCUAUGCCAGCUGGGGAAAUGUUAAGAUGUUUUUAUUUCCUGCGGGCUGACCUAUUUAGAAGAUAACCUCCCUUUGCUGAGCCCUAUGCUUAUACAUGCUAAUAUGCUUUCUACUUGUUUAGUUUUUAAAUUUGCUUGUUCACUUAGUGUUUAUUGAAAUCUUUCUUUGUUUACUAGUAUAUUAUUUUAUUUGAAGCCACUAGACGACAGGGCUUCUGUCUGCUUACCCAUGACACACAGCAGAGAGACAAACAAAAGUGUGAUAUCCACAGAGAGAUGGACAAAAGUGUGCUGAAUUAAUGGCCCUGCCUGAUGACAAUAUGGUGCAUAAUGAUAUGUGAAUAGCUUUAGGGACACUAAAUAGCUUAAUUAUCUGGAAUAUAAAAUCCAUCAAUUUUAGUUAUAAGAUAUGUGUAGAUGCAACUGGGGGGAAAUGCCUUUGUUUCACAUCUACCCAGGAAAGGUAGAGAAGCAGAAUCUUCGUCUCUGAGACACUUAAAUAGCAACUAAUCAUUUUCUUUUUGCAUAAUAAUACCAUCUUUAGCUACCAGCUCUUGAAUGCCUGCCCUGCCAUAUACUUUACAGAUUAACGUGCUAAGCACUUAAAAAUUUUAAAAUUUAAUCUAAUGUAGACAGCAACCUAAUGAAGUAGUAAUAUUAUUUUCAUUUUAUAGAUAAGAAACUUAAAGCUCAAAGAGACUGAGUAACUUUCUCAAGGUCAGACUCUUAGGAAAGCAGGCCUUGAACGCAGGUGCCCUAAAGGCUGUGUCUGCUCUUUUUACCUACAACAGCAUCCACAACAUCACAGGAGGCUCAGCAAGAUUUAAGGGAUCAAGGACUAAAAGAACUUCAAGGAAUCAAUUCUACAGUUAGAAUAUAGAGGCCACUUGCAGAUUGUUAAGAGUAAAGCGAAGUCACUGAAAACAUUGUAUCUAUAUUGAAUAUUUAAGCUUCAUGCCCUGCCUAUCUGUACCUAGCCAUUUACCCAUUUGGGUGAGGUUGGAGAAGGUAAAUCAUUCACACAUACUAUUUGAGUGACAGAAUACAAAAAACAGUGAAAACAAGUCAUACUUGUCCCAAUUUAUUUAAAUUCAAUUUCUUUCACACAAAUUAUACAUUUAACUUUUUUUUUUUUUUUUUUUUUUUUUGAGAUGUAGUCUUGUUCUGCCACCCAGGCUGGAGUGCAGUGGCACAAUCUUGGCUUACUGUAACCUCCACCUCCUGGGUUCCAGUGAUUCUCCUAUUUCAGCCUCCUCAGUAGCUGGGACUAUAGGAACUCAUCACCGUGCACAGCCAAUUUUUUUAUUUUUGGUAGAAACAGGUUCUGCCAUGUUGGCCAGGAUGGUCUUGAACUCCUGACCUCAAGAGAUCCAUCUGCCUCGGCCUCCCAAAGUGCUGGGAUUACAGGUGUGAGCCACCACACCCAGCCUAUAUAUGACUAUUAACUGAGCACCUAUAAUAUGUAAUUUAUUGUCAUAGGCACUACUGCAAGGUUAAAAAUAAAAAAAAAAAACAAGUAUGGCGGCUUCUCCCAAGCUUAAGGCUAGUCAUGACUGCAGAAAACCAGGGACGAGCUCUCUGUCCCCUGGUUUUUGCUUAUCCACAAAGCAUCUUUGUUCAGCUAUUUUCCAGCAUAUUUACUCAAAAAAUCCUAAAUCAAAAUUGCAAAUUCUGGGUAACUUUUAUAGUUUGGGUAACACUUUAUAAAACUGAAUUAGUGAAAUCAUCAUGUAAUAGAUAUGAUUAACUGUUAGGGGAAGUAAACCAAGAGAUUGCAAGUAUAAUUACAAAAGGCAGACCAAAAUAAUCUGAAUUUUAAUCCCAGGGCUGAAAUAUAAUUAGGAUUAGAGAGUACAUGUAGGUUGGGCAUAGUGGCUCACACUUGCAAUCCCAGCACUUGGGAGGCUGAGGUGGGAGGAUCACUUGAGCCCAGGAGUUCGAAAACAGCCUGGGCAUAGAGACAUAGGGAGACCCUGUCUCUUAAAAAAAUAAUAAAUAAGUAAAUAAAAGAAAAAAUGGACAUGUAAUUGGUGGAAAUUUCAAAUGGAAAAACUUGAAUUUGUAAAGCCCAUAGUUAAUAUUAAUUUUUUCAUGAAAUCUGAGGGUUUGGUUUUUUUUUUUCACGAGUUGACAUUUUCAUCAGAUAGCAGAAAACUAAAUUUGCUCUUAUCCGGGUGAACUUGGUCAAAGUCAUGACCCAGUGUCUGUUGAUAUACUUUGUCAGUUUAGGGUUUGUUUGGCUUCCCCUUAUUGGGUCGUAUUGGCUUUUGUUGGGUUGUGUUUGAGUUCCAGGAGGCUUAUAUCAGGACCACUGCAUUAGUGAAGUGUGAAGGUCUGCUCUGUGAGCGUUCUCUGGUCUUUGUAUGUCCUCCGGUCCUCGCGGCUGGUUGGCUUGCUUCUGAUUUCCCAUGUUCCUGGUUGCCAGGUGCAAGCACUCUGAAGUUUCGUCCCUUGAAAUGCAAGGCCUCUCUCAACCUGACAGACUUCCUUUUAGAGGUCUAGGGAACUGCUUUUCUUAAAAUGCUCUAGGGGUGCCCAUGACUUUGCUAGUCGGCUUGUAGGCUCAUUGUCUAGCUUGCUGAAUUGCCACCUAAGCCAUUGAUGAUGGAAAUUCCAAAUUCUGCCAAAAUAUAUUUAAAGAGGUUGAUUCUGAGCCAAUAUGAGUGACCAUGGGCCAGGGAUACAAAUCUCAAGAGAUCCUGAGAAAGUGUGCUUGAGGUGAUCAGAUUACUGUUUGGUUUUAUACAUUUCAGGGAGGUAGGAAUUGCAGGUAGUAUCAUUAAUGAAUACACGGAAGACAUAUUUGGUUCAGUCCAAAAAUGCAGAACAUCUCAAAAGUGGGUGGGGGGUGCUUGUAAGUCACAAGCUGGUUUUAGGGAUAACUCAGUUGACGGUUGAGAGAGUUAAGCUAUUGUCUGAAGUCUUGAAAUCAGUAGAAAAGAAUACCUGAUUUAAGAUAAUGGGGUUGUGGAGACCAAGGUUCUUAUUGUGUAGAUAAAGCUUCAUAAGAGGCAACCCUUGGAGAAUAGAUGGUAAAUGUUUCUUUGCAAACUUUUGAAGGCCUCAGACUCUCAAUUUCUCCUAAACCCAGGAAAGUGAUAGAACAGAGAGAAGCACGGCUGCAUGAAUGAAGAUUCUUUACAGAUGCAAGUUUCCCUACCUUAAUCUCCUGGCCUUGCAACAACCAUUUCAAAAUAGAAGCCGUCUCCACCCAUAGACUGACAACUUUCAUGUAGCUAUCAUUUUCGAGGAAUGCAGGCAAACCAGUUUUCAGAGAUUGCUAAGUAUGACUCCUGUCCAUAAUGACCUUUAUGCUGUACAUUAAUAUUGGAAAACAAUUAAAAUGAACAGAGUCAACAGUGUGCAAAUAAUUCGGUGUAAUUUGAUUUGGCUAUAUUUGACCUUCUUUGUAUGCCAUGUUUCAUUAUUUAGCUUCUUUUGUACAUAAACUCUAGUCAACCAUUCAUGCACGUGCAUGGCAAGAAAUAGGUUUGCAGGGUGUUUGACAGCUCAGGGAAAGUGAUGAAGCGGUGUUGUCAAACAGCUGCACAACAGGCCUCAGAAGCACUAAGUGAACCGUCAAUAAGUGGUAACAUCACUAUAAAUUAUCAACUCAAGACAUCUUCAAGGUGAAAACAAUAAAGUCAUGAAUUCCUGGAAUUCUUAGAAAUCGGUCACUUAAAAUCCUGAAAAUUUUGACACUCCAGCAACAAAAUGGAAAGUGCACUAUUGACGGAGAUUUAGAUUCUCUUUCUUUUCAUUUUUUGAGAUGGAGUUUCACUCUUGUUGCCCAGGCCAGACUGCAAUGGCAUGAUCUCGGCUCACUGCAACCUCCACUUCUCAGGUUCAAGCGAUUCUCCUGCCUCAGCCUCCUGAGUAGCUAGGAUUACAGGUGUGCACCAUGGUGCUCGGCUUAUUUUUGUAUUUUUAGUAGAGACAGUGUUUCGCCAUGUAGGCCAGGCUGGUCUAGAACUCCUGAGCUUAAGUGAUCCACCCACCUUGGCCUCCCACAGUGCUAGGAUUAUAAGUGUGAGCCACCACAACCUGGCUGGGAUUCUCUUUCUAUUGUUAAUAGAUCCUGUGACAAUGGCCAAGUUAUUGAAUCUCUUUUAAUUUUCCUACUCUGUAAAAUGUCACUGAUGACACCUGCUUUACCUACCUUUCAAAGUGGCCAUGAGGGUCACAGAAAAGGGUGUCUGGGGAAGAGCUUUGUACAGUCUGCAGUGCUGCGCAAAUAAUAGCCAUUCUAUCCAGCCUUCUGCACAAGGUGUGGAGGCUCAAUAAAUACUUGUGAUGUCAAUGGGUCAGAUGUGUGGCUCAUGCCUGUAAUCCCAGCACUUUGGGAGGCCGAGGUGGAAGGAUUGCUUGACCCUAGGGGUUUGAAACCAGCUGGGGUAAAAAAGUGAGACCCCCCGACUCUACAAAAAUAAAAAUAAGAAAAUUAGCUGGGCACUGCCACUUAGGAGGCUGUGAUGGGAGCAUCCCUUGAACUCAGAAGUUCAAGGCUGGAGUGAGCUGUGAUCCUACUAUUGCACUCCAGUUGGGGUGACAGAGUGAGACCCUGUCACAAACACAAAAAGUGAAUGGAAUGUGAUCCUAACACACCUGAAGUUUUUGAAACCAUUAAAAAUCAUGUCGAUCUCAAUAAUCAUCAAACUACAUUUGAAAAUUGGUUCAAUGUAUUUCAGGGCAAAGAACAAGAACGGCAAAAGGAAUCAUAACAUACUUUGGUUUCUCCAAACAUCUCUAAUUAUAGAUCAUAGAUGAGAAUGUCAUUCUGACAUGCAGACUUGGGAUAAAAAGCAUCUUUUUGACUUAACAAUGUUUGAACCUAAACCCAAAAAGCUUCUGUUUCCUCUGUAAUCUUUAUUUCAUUUCCUUGUGGUUAAAAAUAAAAGCAAUUUGAUCUACAGUCCAUACAUUUCAAACACUAAACCACAUGUAGGUUAUUUUGCCAGGCCCUUAGAAAACAUGGCUUCGGCUCAUUAGAGACUGGGAGUGUCCUAAGUAAGACAUUAUUAUUAUUAUUUUUUUUUUUUGAAGAGUGACUCAACCAGCUGAAUGAGGAGAUAAGGGUUAGAGGAGGUAAUUCAGGGAGGAGCAGCAUAGGUAAGGUUUGAGCUAAGUUUAAGGAGCUGGGCAUGUAGAGGGUUGAACAAGGGCAUACUGUGGCAUUUUUAUACUAGUUAUUUUCUGAUGAAAAAUUUUUAAAAGUAGAGCCGGGCGCAGUGGCUGAUGCCUGUAAUCCCAGCACUUUGGGAAGCCAAGUGGGUGAGAUCACGAGGUCAGGAGAUCAAGACCAGCCUAGCCAAAAUGGUGAAUCCCCAUCUCUACAAAAAAUACAAAAAUUAGCGGGCAUGGUGGUGUGCACCUUAGUCCCAGUUACUUGGGAGGCUGAGGCAGGAGAUUUGCUUGAGCCCAGAAGGCAGAGGUUGCAGUGAGCCAAGAUCGUGCCAUUGUACUCCAGCCUGGGCCACAGAGCAAGACUCCAUCUCAAAAAAAAAAAAAAUUGAAAAGUAUUAGGAAUCUUACCUUUUGAGAAGAGAACUAUAUUGUAUUUCUAUUAACAUUUCUGUUAUUUUUGUUGCCAUGGCUUGUUUUCACAUUAGAUCCUUUUUUUUUGUUACAGUAGAAAUCUUGGGUCCUUGCUGAAUUUUAGGGUUGACGUUAAGUAUUGCGUUGCAAUAUUCAAAUCUUAUUGAUACUAGCAUUGACCCUCUAAUUGAUGACAAUAGUGAGAUACCUAUCCAGCUUUUCAAAAAGUCUCCAAUUUCAUCUGCCCACUGCUAACUUUUACCAAGUUUUUCUGUGAACAUGACUUCAUUGUUUGUAGCUCAGCAUGACCUCGGGUAGAAUUCCAGAAUGAGCUGUGGCAGCCCUCUCACCCCAUCCUGUGCCAGAUGUUUCUCUGAGAUACACUAGAUGUUUUGCUACUGUUUUAAAAGCACUGAUGAAACUUCACACCAUGAAAGUCCAGUUGUGUAUUCAUUAGUUCUCUCUGAGCAAGUAAAUGCAAUAUGCUCUGAUUCCGUUUCAUGGAUGCAGCUUUGACUUUGUGUAGUUUUAUUCCAAUUGUGAAUGGCUUUAUUGAGGCAAUAUUCACUCCCCUCCUCCAAUCACGCUUCAUUGUCCUGGGUAGUUGUAAUCCCAGCUCCCUACAGAGAAUUCACACCUCACUGCUCUAGAAAUCAGGACUCCCUUAGUAAUUCUAAUAACCGACUGUUUCUUAUAUACUAAAUGACAUGGCACAUAAACACCUUUUAUUGCCAGUUUGAGGUAAAUCUCUAAAGUCAAACACCAGGGACUCAUUUGGAUGGAAAAGUGGUGAGCGGGGAGUAAAAUGGAAUAAUACAAAGAGGAUCUUCAGAGAUUGAAUCUGAGAGGGUCAGAGGCCCCAUGCCAAAUCAAAUUCACGUUGGGGAGGUUUGUUCCAGUUUCUCGUGGCUCACAAUUUGUCUCUGUUUUCUGCUCUGGUUCUUUGUAGGGUUGUCAAGCUUUAUCUCCAGUCUUUCUCUUCUCUCCUUCAUGAUUGCUUCUCUGAGGUUCCUGCGCACUCUAGCCUGACUUGUGGAUAGAAAAAGUAAUCAGCUGAUUUAUAGUGACAGUAAAACUGGUUUGAAUGUUUAAAGUAUUAUAAUUUUUAAUCAACAUGGCCAUGAGGAUUAUCUUUGUCAAGAGGAAGGGUUGAUCUGAUCUGAGUUCUGGUCCACGUUAGAUCAUUUUGGGGCCUCAGUUUCUUUAUCUACAAAGUGGAACUAGAAAUAACUUCUCGGCUUAUCAGAAAGAUGAAACAUCCUAACGUAUAUGAAAGUGCUGUGUAUACUAUAACAUGUUGAAUGAAACUUACUUCACAGUCCAAAGGAGGCAGGCUUAGUGUUUAUAAGCAGCCUUUGCUUACGAGAGGAAGCCAGGCAGUUCCCCUGGGUUUUAUGAUUUACAUGAGAAGAAACACAAAGGGAUUUUCUGGAAAUAUCUUUUAAUUAGGACAGAACAUACUAGUUCAAAUAGAACAUUUGCUUGAGAUGUCUCCCUGGGGCAGGCUGACUGGUAUAGGCUAAGAAAGCAUUGCCUAUACCAGCUUUUCCUACCACAGAUGGUAAAGAUACUCCCAUCAAUCUGAUUUCCUGAACACUCUUGUUCAAUUCUCAUUUCCGGCCAUUCUCCUCUGAAGUUUGGAGGUAACUAGAGUCUGUGCAGUGUGGAUGCCCUGUUUCUCUCCUUUUGGAUUUAUACCUGCCUGUUAGUGACACAGUGUUCCUUUACCAGGUGUGUGCUGGGCAUGUUGGAGGCUCUCACAAUGGGGCACGAGGCCAGCCCCACGAGCACUUGACCUACUUUGACUUGGUUUGUUGCCAGUGUUUACCCGUCAUGCCAGCGGCAUCUCAAAUAUUAAUGCUGUCUUUGAUUCUGCUGCGGGCCCUGUUAACUUUUAAACCUAACUUUGAAAGUUGUUAACUUUCAAAGUUAUUUUUUCUUCUUAGCAAAGCAAGCUUCUAAUGGCUACACAGUAUCAUUUAAUUAAAGGUGUAGAGAAUAUUUACAGGUAAUUAUUAAAUAUACCUGUAGUUUACUUACUGCUGCAAAACCAUUAUGUUCAAGGGCAUAGCAUUUCAAGGAGUUGAUUGAUUUAUUGGAGCUAAAUAUUUAUUUUUUUCCUGAGCCCAGGAGGCGGAGGUUGCGGUGAGCCGAGAUCGCGCCAUUGCACUCCAGCCUGGGUAACAAGAGCGAAACUCCAUCUCAAAAAAAAAAAUUAUUUUUUUAGGCACGAGAUUCCUUCAGAUACCUUAUUUUACUACUGACUAAUGUUUUUCAGUCGUGCUUUUGAUAUCUGACUUCCUGGUUGAAAUCUCAGUUCAUUUCUUACUACAGAAACCUAAGACACAGAAUGCAGUGAAUAUACCAGUGAGGUAUCUAGACUUUUAAAAGUCAAAACUUUUGCACAUUUUUUUGACUCUAAUUUGAGAUGCCCAAAUGGUGUUCCAGCUGCCAUUCAUUAAAAUUGUAUUCAGUGCUUUUAAGAGUUUGGAGGGCAGGAAGAUCUUGAAGAAGCUUAUGAUUUGUAUUGGGUUUAUGAAAUGGAUUCAUCCAAUAAGCCUGGGUUGAGGGCUGCUUCGUGGCUGGCCAGGCACUUUGGCUCAGACAUGAAGAGUAUAGGUGUAUAACACCAUUCUCACGCUGCUAUGAAGAAGUACCCGAGAUUGGGUAAUUUAUAAAGAAAAGAAGUUUAAUUAACUCACAGUUCCACCUGGCUGGGAAGGCCUCAGAAAACUUACAAUAAUGGCAGAAGUCACCUCUUCACAGGGUGGCAGGAGAGAGCAUGAGUGCAAUCAGGGGAGAUGCCUGAUGCUGAUAAAAUCAUCAGAUCUUGUGAGACUCACUAUCACAAGAAUAGCAUGGGGGAACCCAACCCCAUGAUCAGAUUACCUCCCUCUGGUCCUGCCUUUGACACGUGGGGAUCAUGGGGAUUAUAAUUCAAGAUGAGAUUUUUGGGUGGGGACACAGCCAAACCAUAUCAAUAGGACUCUCCCUAGUCAAAAAGCUACUUGCUCGCCUUUGAGACACAUACUCUGCUGAUUUCCCUCCUUGCUCACUGGCACCCUUUCUUUGCUGUGUUUGUAUCAACUUACUAGGUGGUCUCAGCUGUAAACCCUGACUGCUGGGGCUACACUGAUUAUUCUCACAUUAUGUCUUCCCUUAAUCUUCAGAAUGACACAACCAACCGCCAUGUGCUAAGAUGCUAUAUUAUGCGUUUACUUAUUAGCCUAGUUUCUUCCCUCAUCUGGAAUCUAAGGGCCACAAUGGCAGAGGUUGCCUGUCCACCUCUGCAUGCUACCUAGGAUAUGCUGUGCAUCAAACAUAAACUCUCAGAAAAUAGUUUCUUAAUGAAAGAAUCCCUUUGUCUAGAGCUUUCCAGUAUCUGGUAAGAUAUCAUGCUGUAACCUUUCUAUAUUUACUCCCCAUUUCUUGGCUAACUUCUCUUACUACAGAAACUGUAUGCCCAGUGCUUCUCCAGGGUGUUCUGGGAAUGAGACCAAAUGUGCAGUACAUGUACCAAGAGAGCAGUUUUGUAGAGACUUUCUUUGACCUGUGGGUCAGAGACUUGGGUGUGUGGAAUUCUGUAGGGAGCUGUCCUUCCUCAGAAGAUUUCAUUGUCUGACUUACAAAAUUCUUUGCACUCAGGAAUGGAGCCUUCGUGCUGUGCCAUCUGGUCUCAGUGCUGGGCUGUGAAGUGUGGGCUUCCAGAUGGAUGCUCUGUGCCUGGAUGCUGAGGUCAGCAUCAGAGUGCAGCAGGGAGGGCUCUGGGGAGGAGAGGUGGACCUUCAUGGAUGUUUUUUCUGGUUCUACCCUAAGCAGAUCUUCUAUUUUGAUUUUGGUUGUGUUUUGCUUUCCUAUAAUUUUCUUCUUUAUAAAUGCUUAUGAAUAAUUUUUUGGUGGGGUUUAUGAAAUAAAAUCUUUCAUUCCAAUGUUUAAUCUCAAGUUUUCAAGGUUCAUAGAUAACACAGCCUUUCAAAGGACAGGAAGUGAGAAAUCAACAUUUGGGGGAAAAUAACAGUGAAACUCCUAUGAUAAAAUCCUCUUUUCCUCUGUAUUAAUCCUCUGUUAGAUAUAAAAGUAAUGUUUAGAUAUCAUGUCCCUUUGAUGAUAUUGAUUACUAACAUCUACAUGCACAUAUUAUGUGCUAAUCAUUUCUCAGUGUGUUAAAACCUAUUAUCCCAGUUAAUUUUCACAAUAAUUCUAGCAGGCAGGCUUUAUUGUCCCCCAUUUUAGAAAUAAGGAAACUAUAGAGGCACCAGAGAUGAAGUACCUCCCCAAGGUUGGCUGGCUAGUCAACGGUUUGGUGUCGCUGGAUCUGUGUUCCCCACAAGUAAAAUGUGCUAUGAUUUCUGUAGAGGCAACCUACGUUUUUAUGGAUUUUAGGUAAAAUGCUGGUGCCAAAUGAACUUUCCUGGUUCUUCUGAAUGUAAGCACAUAUUUUGUGCAAAACCUUAUUUAAAAGCCUUUUAAAAAUUUCUCCCCUGCUUCCAAUUAAAACAAAAUUUCCUAACCUGACAUUUGAAGUGUUGCUCAUUAAAAGCCAUUUUACCUUCCUUACAGUUUUAUUACUUUUCCAGUCAGUUUUGUCUCCUUUAUUUAAAAAGUUUAACGAAAGAAUUUUAAACAAUAUGAUGCAUUGGAAACAAUAAAAAAAUUUCAUAAUUCUGGUACCUGUACUUUCUAGAUGUGGCAUGAUUUGUAAUGGCCAAAAUGGCAAGUAUGAUUUGAAGGCAUAAUUUAUGCAAAAUACUCUUUAUAUGCAAAACCUAUUCAAUGUCAUUUUAAAAGUGAAUUAAUAUUUAUUUCAAUGUAAUUCUGCCUUAAUUUCUUAAGCACCUGCUCUGUUGUAAGGGUUAUGUUUGGAACUCUGAGGAUAUUAGAUCUAUGACAUGCUCCAAGCUCUGAAUAAGCUUACAGUCUUAUUAGACAAAAAUAUUAUAGGGAAUUAUAAAUUGCAAGUUUGUAAUGAAAAACCACAAAGGAAUUAAACUGUGAAAAAUGAAGCAAAACUGCUUCUUUGUUUAUUAUAUUCUCAGAUUCUUUCAGAAAAAGAUUUUAAACACCUAGGAUCAAUUAAGCUAUUUUUCAUAUCUCCUCCUUCAUUCAUUCAUCUGUUCAUUCAAUAUUUAUUGAACAAAUAUGUGUAGAAGAUGACAAUAGAUUCUUUAAGGGAUCUCAACAUUGUGUGGAAUAGAGUUUGAUAGCCAUUUUGAUAGAUAAUAAAGAUAUUUACCUAUAAAAUACAAAUAAAAUACAAAUAAAAUUGUUUUAAAUCUAUCAGUCGGCACUUAUAGAACGCCUCUUAUUUUAGAAACUAAAUUAGGCAUUGGGAAUUUGAAAAUACUAAGGUGCUUUUCUUGAACUCAGUGAAAGGGGAAAAGGAACAGUCCAAGUUAGUUAAACUGCAAUGAUGAGUCAAAAAAAUAGUGAGCAAACGGUGCCAUUGGAGAUGGGGAGCCCUGAGAGCACAUAAAACGGCCUAGAGAGGUCAGGAGAGGUUUCUGAGCCUAUAAAGAAGAGUAAGAAUAGGUGGAGACAGAAUUCCAACACCUUGAACUGAAAGAGUGUACUUUAUUUAGGCUCCAGGUGUGUGUGUGUGUGUGUGUGCGUGUGUGCGUGUGUGCGUGUGUGUACGUGUGUGUCGGACAGACACGCAUGCGCGUGCGCACGCACACACGGGUGGUAGAGGAGAGGGAGAGGGAGAAAGAAUAUGUUUUGAGGAAUUCGUUCUAAGAAUUUAUUUAUAUUGAAGAUUUAGAUUGAGUUUCUCAUUUUACAAAAGUAGAAUAUUAAGUCACUCUUUCUUGGUUCUUCCAAGGGUGCUGCAUACCUGAGUAUUCUAGAUGCCAAGCAGAUAACUUAAUUAGCAUGCAAUGGAUGCGCUAGAAUAUGAGGGCUUAAUUCACUGAGGAACUCCAGGUGAGAAAGGUACUAAGAUGAAUGAAGGUGAUGGUUGAAUAUGACUCUUUGGUGUAAAGUUUUUGAAUUAAAAUUACUUUUACUUUUGUUUUUAUUUCUUUUUAUAUUUUUUUCUUCCUAAUAUUUAUUCCAAGGAUUUCAGAAUAUUGCUUUUGAGUUGAUUGCACGCCCUCUCUCCCUUUUUUCCCUCUUCCUCUCUUUUUACUUUAGAAGAGUUCUCAAAAUAAUUGGCCAAUUAGAACUUUCUUCCCUUGCAUGGGCCAGGAAUUUUUGUCUAAAGUCUUAAUUAGUAUAAAACUCUUACUGUUGUGCCCAUUUCCAUCCUCUGCAUUAGGUUUAAGAAAAAUUUUCACAGCCAGAAUCAAAAUUGUGGUCUCUGUCAUGGUAAAGAUGGAGUAUAAAUUGGCUCCAGAGAGGUGAUUUUUAAGCUGAUUUGAGAAAGGAGACUUUCUUCUCACAGUGACUGAUUGUCCAAGGUACACUUCUAUAACAAUUUUCUAGCCCUGUAAAGGAAGCUUUUUCUUUCUUCCCGUUUCUUUUCUUUCUUUCUUUUUUUUUUUUUCCUUCUUGUAAAGGUUAAUGUCUUCAAAUGUCUUCCAAACAAUGUGCUUUGUGUCUCUUUUUACAUUUUUGCAGUUCUGGUUCACUUCUUACUUUGCUGGGGAGGGAGUUAGUGGGUGUCUCCCUUAAAUAAAUCAUUUCUUUUGAGGGCAGAUGAGAUGCAGCUUCUGCCCUUCAACUCUGCCAGCAUGCUUUCUGCCAGUCAGAAGUCUUCCUUUGAGAAAGCUUCCAGCUCUUUGUUUCAGGGCCUUCCUGGCACAGGUUAGGAGUAAGCAGUGUUGUCCACAAAGGUUCUGUACAGUUCUGUGUACAGGCCGAGAAAGGGAGCUCUGGUGACCUCCUUUUAAUUGUGCCAUCCUGAUAUAAAGAGAAAAGAGUCACUUUUUUAGAGAGAUUCCUGUUUCUUCAUCUAAGUCUUGAAUAUAAAUUCUCCACAAAACAUGCCACUAUCUAGGGAAAUAGAGCCCAAUAAUUUGUUUGAAAUUUGGUUAAAGAUACCAAAUUCCAGGCCCUGAGGACACAGUGUGGUCAUCCAAGCAGGUUGGUCAGUGUGACUAAAAUCAGGAACAAUCAUGACAUAUUUCCAGGACUCUGUUGGAAAUCAGACCACAUAUCCCUCUAAUACCAUUCAUGUGCAUAUGUUUGUUUAAGAAAAGAAGCAAAAAAGAAGACUUUUGCCAGUUGAAUAAAACCACUGUUGGAAUAAUAAAUACAAUUUUUUUUUCUUUUUUUUUCCUCUUUUUUUUUUUUUUUGAGAUGGAGUUUCUCUCAUGUUCCCCAGGCUGAAGUGCAAUAGUGCGAUCUUGGCUCACUGCAACCUAUGCCUCCUGGGUUCAAGGGAUUCUCCUGCUUCAGCCUCCUGAGUUGCUGGGAUUACAGGCAUGUGCCACCAUGCCUGGCUAAUUUGGUAUUUUUAGUAGAGAUGGGGUUUCUCCAUGUUGGUCAGGCUGGUCUUGAACUCCUGACCUCAUGUGAUUUACCCACCUCGGCCUCCCAAAGUGCUGGGUUUACAGGCGUGAGAUUUUUUUUUUCCCCCUUAAUGAUAGAGAAGCAAACCACUUGCUCACAUGCAAAAAUUUUUGGUCCAUUAUUUCCCAUUAUAUCUAAUGAUGGGGAAGGCUGAGUUCAAUGGAUUCAUUAUGGAAAUGCUUAUAUACAACCAGUGUGGUUUUGUGGGCCUCUUGCAUGGGUUGUUGGCCCGGCUAAAUACAAAUCGUAAUCCAUAACCCCUUGCAUUUAUCUUGACGGUUACUGUGGCCACCAUUGCUUUCUGGCAAAUCUCAUUAUGUGCUCUGAGCUUCUAAAUGAAAAGUUCCUUUCUGCCAGCAUAGUGCACAAACAAUACUCCUGCUUCUGGGAUCCUUGUGAGUUAUUCUGUGCAUCAAACAGCUGCAUCAGCUUUAUCGGAAAUGAGUUUGUUUCUGGGCUGGUAUUUCUCAGUGAAGGCCAUGUUUAGCAUGGCAAGGCUAACUAUGAAAUCAUUUUGAUAAGCAAUGCAGGAAACUUCAUAAAAGCGCAACUUCCCAAGGUCUUCUUUCUUUUUAAAGCAAGUAAGUUAGAUGCUGAUUUUCCAAUUAUUUGUAAUAGUAAAUUACAUGUGUUUCCCUUUUUGAAAUUUUAUGCUGCAUAACUCUGCUACCAUUAGAAGGACCAAACCUUAUUUUGGAUCUCACUUUCUUUCAAAUCAUCAGGAGUUCCACAUAGAAAUUUAAAUGGGAAUCAAGGCUCUUGCUAUUAGAUUAAUUCUUCUAAGACCCUAUCUGAUAUAUAGAUAUGGAGUAAAUUUUAAAUGAAGAACUAUAUUCAAACAUUUCAAUGAAAACAAUAAUGCCACUUUUUAAAUUAUUAAUGCAUAAAAAGUUCAUCUUAUGUCUUCCUUUAAUGAAUUGGCUUAAAAUACUGAAAUUACAACCUAAGGGUAAUGAUAUGUUUUGGCUAUGUCUCCACUCAGAUCUCAUCUUGAAUUGUAGUUCCUAUAAUCCCCUCAUGUCAUGGGAGGGACUCUGUGGGAGAUAAUUGAGUCAUGGAGGCGGUUUCCCCUAUGCUGUUCUCAUUAUAGUGAGAGAAUUCUCCGGAGACCUGAUGGUUUUAUGAGAGACUUUUCCCCCUUUGCUUGGCACUUCUUCCAUGUGAAGAAGAACAUGUUUGCUUCUCCUUGUGCCAUGAUUGUAAGUUUUCUGAGGCCUCCUCAUCCCUGCAGAACUGUGAAUCAAUUGAACCUCUUUUUUGUAAAUUACUGAGUGUCAGGUAUGCCUUCAUUAGCAAUGUGGAAAUGGACUAAUACAGGUAAAUUAUUGUGAUUUUACUUAUAACAAUUGAAAGCUAUAUAUUUUUGUUCUUAUGGUGUAGAACAACCUUGUGGUUCAAUCAGAAGUCUGUUACUUUUACAUUUUCACAUUUAUAAAUUACCAUACUUAUGUGACUCCUGCGGGCAUUUAUUAGCAGCAAAGAUCUUGUACUUUAAAGCACUGAAUCAUUUUAUCCACAAAAGAACCCUAUUAGAGGAUGUAAUAAGUUUUUGAAAAUUAAAGAAAAAAAAGCUCAAGCCAUUGACGUAUAAUGGUUUGCACAACAGAUCACAUUAGAUGAAGGAUGCUUGAAUCUUACUUUUCAGUCUCUAGGCUAUUAUUUGUUCUACCAGAUUUCAGGAGGCAAAGUAAGUGAGAAGACAGGAAGGAAAGGGACACAGGGAGCUUCUGCAGAGAUGAUAAUGCCCCUCCUCUGAAGGUCACUGCCAUUCCCAAGGCUGCAGUCCCUAUGGGGCAAUGAUUGCUUUUGUGGCAUCCAUGGGUAAAAGCCUGCCCUCAGCUGGCAUAGAGGCUCUCAGUCAGCAGCUGCUAUGCCUCCUGUUAGCCCUGAAGCCCAAAUUUACCAGGCAAUUUUCAUGCUUUGGUUCAAGUGCACAAAUUGGUGUUUGAAAGCACUUCAGAACCUUGACCUCUUGCCUUCUUAUUUGGGUAACUUAUGAUUUUCAAUGGCUGAAAUGAUGCAAGGUAUUUCUCAGCCAUUGGACCUUCCUGGCUGGCAAUGUGUGCCUGCUUGGGCCUCACUUGGCCCUGGACCUGCCACUGGAGGCACCCCACCCACUUGGCCCACCUGUGUUAUAGUGUAUCCAUGUUUGGUAGUUCCUGAGCUCUUGUCCCACAUCCAAGAAGACUGAGGUUAUGCUGACAAUUAGAUGUGUGAGAAUGAGUGGAGAAGAAUUUUAUUGAGCAAUAGAAUACCUCUCAGCAAAGAGGGGAUGCAGAGGUGGUUUUUCUCUCUGUACGCCUGGGUCCAGGGCUUUUUAUGGACUCAGAAUGGAGAGUGUGUGCUGAUUGGCUUGUGAGUUUGCAAAGAAAGGCUAAAGCAAAGGCAUCAGUCAAAGGUGGGUAUAGCAGUGUAGAAAACCAGUGAGGAAAGGGUAGAUAUAUGUAAAAUAGGUGAAGGGUGAAGAUCAAUCAGAGGAAAGUGUACCAGACAGGAAGACAAUUUUUUAAUCUGGUCCAUGGAUUUGACUUGUAGCUUGGCUUUCAGGCUUUAAACUGUCUUCAGCUUGGAGGUGGGGUUUCUCUAGGAACCUGCCCCUAUCUGUGUAGGCAUUUGUCUCCCUCCUGUCACUACUUAUACUUGAUGGCUAUUGAUGAAAAAAAGAUCCAGAGUUUGGUGGAGGUAUCAAUAAAAAAAGAGCAAGAGUUUGGUGGCUAAGUGUUUUCACAUUCAAAGAGUGACCGAGAAAAGAAAUCUAUCAUGAUUUUCUUUUCUUCCUUUUUUGUAUUCCCACUUAGUUUAGAGAAACCAUGAGUACUGUAUACUUCUCUUUAGGAUUUGUUUUAGGAAAAAGAGCCAAAAAUAUUGAGAUUGAGGUGAGCUUGUAAGUGGUGCAAAAUAUUCUAUGCUCAUUCUAUCUACCCCCUGCUUUUGUAGCACUGAAUGUAGCAAAUAAAAAUGACCAUCUCAUAAAUACUGAUAUCAUGCAUUAUCCUAUAUGUUUACACUGCAUUAUCUCUUGAUUCUUACAAGAUUCCUAUGGUAGCAGCUGCUAUUAUUAUUCCCAUUUUAGAGAUGAGGAGAUGAAGCUUAAAAAAGGUUAAGUAACUUGCUUAGUAUCACAGAGCUAGCAGGUAGUCCUCUUAGGGAAUAAAAAAGCAUAUAUUAUAUGGGAAGUUUCACAUUAGUAUAUAUUCUGAUUUCAUUUUUAUUUUGGUACUUUCCUGAAUGUAAACUAGACAAUCAUAGAAUAUCAGUCUAGAAGAAUCUGAAACUGGACAACAGCAUUUGGUCAGUGGACCACUAAAUAUACCUGCUUGAGAUGUGAUGCCACAAAAAUACAUACCUGUGCAGGAAAGCUCAAUUAAUUUGUCAGUAAUGCUUGAGACACUGGGGCAUUUCCUAAAAGGGAGUAUUAACCAGCUGGAGGAGUUGAUGGAUGAAACUAUGCUACAGGUCAUUAACUACAGCAGUAAUUAUUCCUGGGAAAUACUUUAUUUUGAAGUUAAUUCUCUGGCUUGAAUAUACGUAUUUAAAACAGUUUGAUUCUUCUUAUACUGCAUGGACUAAAGAGGUUAUGAUAAGGGAAAGUCUAUUCGAGGCACUGACUAUAGUUCUGUAAAGCAAAAUAUGAAAAAAUUAUGUAUGUGUAAAAAGGGAAGCAUAGUUGAGUACUUCAGAUUCCAUUUUAUUUUCAUGUAAACUGGAAUUUAUGUAUCCUCUCUUUUCUUCCCCACCACUUUGAGAAGUGUAAUACCCUAGAAAUAAGAUCUAGUAAGUCCUAUUUACCUGUGGAGCUUGGCAAAGCAGUGAUACCCAAAGAAUAUAGAAUCGGUAAAAUAAAGUUCAAGGGUGAUGUGGGGCUGGGGAGAGGAGAAAUAAAGAAGGAAUUGAAAAUGUCAGAGUUUCAAAGUAAUCAGCAGAAGGAAUUGGCAAAAGGGAAUAAAUUAAGGGAAAAGCGAGGGAAGUAUAAAUGACCUUGCAGAGUGUUCUAGUCACUUGAUUGUUUUUCCUCUUUUCUCAUUUAUAAGCCCCUUACACAGUUUCUAUCUUCAAUACCUGUUAGUUUCAGAUUUCUCACAGAAUCCGUCAUCAUCCCCUCCACUCUCUUGAAAUAUCCUGACCCACUCCCCAUCACCAGCAUCCUCACCAGAUCAUUUUCAUUUCUAAUGGUGGCCAAGGUUUGAGGACCCCAGGCAGUCUGGUAGCUCGGAUCCUUUCAGAUCAGUGUGUUUAGAUCGGGAGUCCCCAGCCCCUAAACCAUAGAGUGGUACUGGUCUGUGGCCUGUUAGGAACCAGGCCACACAACGGGUGGUAAGUGGGGGAUGAGUAAACAUAACUGCCUGAGCUCCACCUCCUGUCAGAUCAGCUGUGGCAUUAGAUUCCCAAAGCAUCAUGAACCCUAUUGUGAACUGCACAUAGGAGGGAUUGAGGUUACACAAUUCUGAUGAGAAUCUAAUACCUAAUGAUCUCAGGUGGAACAGUUUCAUCCCAAAACUAUUCCCCUACCCAGUCCAUGAGAAGUUGUCUUCCAUGAAACAGGUCCCUGGUGCCAAAAAGGUUGGGGACUGCUGGCUUAGAUAAUUAUUAAAGGGGAAGGAGGUACUGUUGAACCUUGCCUCCAUUAUUUUAAGAAAUCCAGCUAUGGCCCCACACUUGCACACUACAUUCUGCAAAGGAGCAGUUCUGCAAAUCAGCAGAGCCUCCCCUCCCCUUGUACAAAGAAGUUUAGCAAUCUUUUUUUGUUAUUACUCUACUAAUGACUCUUACCUGUACCAACCAUGAAAAACUCAUCUUUGAAGUAGUUACCUGAGUUAAUUUUCUAAAAUAAGAAUUUGAUCAUAUUAUGGUAGGCAAAAGAAAUGGCGUGUUUGAAGCUGUGGGUGUAUUAAAAUCAAAACACGUUUUGGGUAACUUCCAAGUAGUUGUCUACAGCUGGGUAUUGGGUUCUGCAGAUGAGGUCAGAAAUGCACUGGGGGAACUAUGGGCCUUCUUGGCAGAGAGAAGAGUGUCUCACUUUUCUCCACCUCAAGAAACAAUUGUAUUUGCCUCCCUACCAUGUAGAAUACUGCAGUUUCUCUGUGAGAAAACUAAUUUUCUCUAGUAACAUGCUAAUACCUCAUAUAGAUUGGUCCUCUGAGAAGCUUUACAUAGAAGCUGGCUUUCUAUAUAAUUUUAAUAACCAGGAGAGAACUCCCUCACCUUCCAUUGUUUCUUUUUUGUUUUCAACUCUGCUUCCAACUCAUCUCUCUUUCUCUCUCUCAUACACAUUGAGAAACUGAAUUCUUUAAAGGUCGAUUCUGCCACCUCUGCUCUUGAUUUCAUCCUUUUCUAGACACUCCCAAACUAUGAGUGAUCAAUUAUAACCUCUAUUUAUACAAACCAUGUUUAGAAUCUGUAAACAAGCUCGUUUGUCAAAAUGAAAACCAGUGUUAUUCUUUUGAGCUUGUGCCCCCAUGGCCAUAAUCUAAUCUAUCUUCUUGCAAAGCCACAGCUUUAGUAAUACAAAUAAUUUGCAUUGAUUAUUACAUACUGGCUUUUGGUAAUGCAAAUAAUUUACGUUGAUUAUUACGUAUUGGCUACGUAAUAAUCAAUUGUAAACUGCUUGCAUUUUAACAUCUGUCAUUUUAUUUGAUAGUUAUUUGUUGUAAUAGUUGUAGUUUGUAAUUAGCGUAGUUUCUAUUUUACACAUGGAGAAGCUGUCAUCUAGAAAGGUUAAUUACAUCUCACAGAAAAAUAACUGAACCAGGAUUUAAAGCCGGAUUUGUCUGAAUCUAAAGCCUUUCAAACAACAGUACUAUAGCUUUCCGACAAGCCUAUGUUUGUUCUUUGCACUCCCCUAUUUUCCAAAACCCGGGAGGAGAGUGAUAUCAUCCAGUCGCCAGUACCAUGGAUACUCUUCAGUCUCUAUUGGUCUUGAUGAUUCUGUAGCACUUGCAUCCUGAAGCACUGUUUUCUCAUGGCUUCCACAACACCGUUGUGUCCUGGUUAUUUGUUUCUUUGACCAGUUCUUCUGUCUUCUUUGCUGGCAAGUUUUACUUCUCCUGCUCCAUGCAUGAUAGCGUUCCGUGGGUCCCGGCUUUGACGAGGAUAUCAUAAGCUCUCACAGGGCCAACUCCAACAUGCAGAACUGUGGCACCCACUUAGACCACUCACCUCAAUUUCAUCAUAUUCUUUCUAGCUGCCUGCGAGAUUCUUACUCAUGGACAUUUCACACAGAAACCGAAAAUGCAACAGCUAGGAGAUUGAACCCAUUAUCUUCUUCCCAGAACUGCUUUUGUGUGUGUGUGUGUGUGUGUGUGUGUGUGUGUGUGUGUGUGUGUGUGUGUGUGUGAAUGGAAAUAGCAUCCUCCUCUUACUACAUUUCGAGCUCUGUUGGCUUCCUAGACUCCUUCUUGGUCUCUUUAACUAACAAAUAUGUUCCAUAUCUUUACUAUUUUUUCUAUAUCCAUUUCCUUACUAUAUGUUUUAUAUCUACUAAUUUUACAUCCUCCCCUGUACUUUUUCAGACUUUUGUCAUCUUUCUUCUGAUCCAUUGCUGUGGCCUUCUUCCAGAAUCCUGCAUCCCUUACCUCUACUACCAUCAAAAAUUCACCUUUGAAACGGUUACUAGAAUUAAUCUUCUAAAAUAAGAAUUUGAUUAUAUUAUGGUAGGCAAAAGAACAGCAGGUGAAAAGCUAUGGCUGUAUUAAAAUCAAGACACGUUUUUGGGUAACCUCAGGGAGUUGUCUAUGGCUAGACACUGGAUUCUGCAAAUGAGGCCAGAAAGGCACUGGGGAAAUGAAUCAAGAAGUCUCUGAUGCCACUCUCUAAAUUAGGGGGUCAGCAAAUGUUUCCUGGUUGUUUUUUUUUUUUUUAAACUUUUUUUGAGACAGUCUAUCAGUGGCAUGAUCUUGGCUCAUUACAACCUUCGCCUCCCAGGUUCAAGUGAUUCUCCUGCCUCAGCCUCCCAAGUAGCUGGGACUAUAGGUACGCACCACCAUGCCUAGCUAAUUUCUGUAUUUUUAAUAAAGGCAGGUUUUUACCAUAUUAGCCAGGAUGGUCUCCAUCUCGACCUCAUGACCUCAUGAUCCACCUGCCUUGGCCCCCCAAAGUGCUGAGAUUACAGACAUGAGCCACCAAGCCCUGCCAGUAGAUAUCUUCUUUUAAGUGUGGCUUUGUGGGCCAUAUAUAAUUUCUGUUCCAUCUGAUUCAUCUUAUUUUCUCCAUCCUUUAAAAUGGGAAGAACAUCCUAGCUGCACACCUUACACAAACAGGUCAUGGGCUAGAUUUGGCCAAUGGGCCUUAGUUUACUAACUCGUGCUCUAGAGUUUGGAUAUUGUGUAUGAUGGUUAGUAGGCAAUGAAGGGUUUUUGCAGAGAGUGCACCAAUCAGAAGAGAACUGAACUUUCAUAUGAGGCAGAGUGACACAAGGCCCUGCUCUAUUUUGAAUAUUUUAAAGUGGUGGCAGUGGAAGCCAUGGGGUGGUGACCUCUCUGGCAUCUUCAGUCCCCAGCACUUUCUCCAACCAACGUAACCCACAAGGAAAGGGAACUGGACACUGUAUUAGUAUAGACGGAGAAGUUGUUAACUCUAGGAAGUUCACGGAAUGCUUCCCAGUGGCAAUGGGUCAUUUAGUAGAAACUUACAAGAACAAGAGUUAAGAAGUUAUACAAAAGAUAAAAGUAAUGGUAGUUGUAAAGGUACACAGGCACUAAUGACCAUGACUUGUCACUUAGCUACUUGAAACACCUAAGGAGUUAUUUAAUAGAAUGCACCAUAUUGGGAUAUUUUUCUGUUGGUACUAAGAGAGAUCAUUAAGGAAUCAGUCCACACUAUCUUUGGGUGAACACGUUAUUACACACUUCAUUGGAAAGCACUUGCUUUUUCCUAGAGUGUGGAACUCUCAAUCUUGGUAUUGUAAAAGGCAAAGUAAUGUCCUUGAACUAUAACAGUGAAUACCUUGAGCUGUAACAAUGAAUGAAAGCAGAGGUUCUCACAUUCUGCUUUCAUUGAAUAGGGUCUCAGUAGAUGUCUGUUGAGUGAAUAACACAUUUAAAUUCUGGAGUGGAUGCCUGUGGUGAAGCUUGGUGUUCAGAGUGCCUUGGCAGUUUGUUGCUAGGCUAUAUGGAUUUAUUUGUCUCUAAGUUGAUUCUAGUGAGUUUGAAACCUCUUGUGAUGCCCUGGACCACAUGGCACCAGGUGACCAUGUUUACCAAACUCAUAUCCAGUGUAGUCCUCUACCACUUUUUAUGGUUACCAUAGUGAAUGUUUCUAAUAUACAUAGGUUAUUAUAUAUGGAAACUCAUAAACAUGCUCUAGUACUCUUAUUUAUAUACUAUUAUAGAAAGAUGAACUUUAAAUUCUACACAGAAUUUCUCUAAUUUUUUUUGUGUAUUUCCUUAGGGGAUGCAAAGUACAAUUCCAUUUUGGGGUGUUCUGAAUAUGCUGGAUUAUCUCUAUUAUUUUUUAUUUAUUGAAUAUUUUUAGAGUUAGAGUUUUGCUGUGUUGUCCAGGCUGGUCUCAAACUCUUGGCCUCAGGCGAUCCUCCUGCCUCAGGCUCCUAAGUAGUUGAGACUAUCAGCAUGUGCUACCAUGCCUGGCUUAUUAUUAUUUUUUAUUGAGGCAUAAUUUACAAACAAUAAAAUGCAUGUAUGGAUUGGUUUUCCUUAUCUUCAACUGAUUCAGAGUAUUAUUAUCAUAUUUUUCAUUUGUAUUGACUUUGGUCAUUUAUGAACCAUUUUACCCACAUGGUCUCAUCUGACCUUGCCGCAGGUACUCUUUCAUGAAUCGUACAUGCCAUAGCUUAUAAAUGUACCUUUUAAAAUGUACCACUAUGAAAGCAAAAAAUAAAUUCUACUUAACCAUGACAAAAUACUCUGAGUCACUUAUAAAAUUUAUUUUAUGUCUCUCAUAAAUGUGCUUUGAAUCUUCCCCUCAGCCACAGCUGAGUUCCCUAAUUAUUCUCUGCAUGACUUAUGACUUGAAGUGCCUGUAAUAGGUGCAUUAUUAUAGCAAAUAGCUAAAAGAACUAGGUAGUAGAUCAAGGAAAUUUACCCUGUUGCUAUAUACCACAUUAAAUUCCUGAGUUCUCGGUCUGGAGGCUUCCACACCCAGGUUCAGCAGAGAGAUGGCUUGAAGCAGAGAGACUGUGAAUAUAGCUAGGAAGAAUUGUGGUGGUGGUGACAGAGACAUUACCAGGUUCUCACCUUAGCAGUUCCUUACUUUAUACUUCUGGAAUAGCAGGACAGCCCUAAGCAGCAGCUUGAUCCCAAAUACUGAUGUGGGGAUUAAAAGCAACCAUGCAUGGUGAAAUGCACCUCAAUUUCAGUUGCUAAUGUGGAAAGAAAUGUGCAUCUAAUAACCGCCAAGGGUAUUUUAUUACCAUUAUGUAAAUGAGGAAAUCUAGGUGCAGGGGUUUUACUUGUAGCUAGAAGAGGCAGUACCAGGAAUUGGAGUUGGUCUUUCAAAGGUGAAUUCUAUGCUCAUUAGACUCUGCCAUAACUUACUUAUAUGUUCAGGCUAUUGAUCUGAAAUUGGAAACUCAGUUUUCAAAAAGAUCAAUAAAAUUUGCUUGGAUCUUAUGGAAAUUCCUUGUGUUUUUUUUCAUAAAUCACUCCUCAAGAGAUUCUAACCUACUAAGGACUCAGCCUAAAACACUCAAAUGGAUGAGGACAUGGAAAGUCAUUUUCUUUCACAUCUUUAAAAACCUACUUGAACCAGUGCUGUGUGGAUGUGAUGAUACCGUCCCACAGCUAAAAACAGCAUCUAUUUCAGUGGUUCCUGAAAUUCACAGAAAAUGAAACAAAAUCCCACAUAAUGACAACCAUUUAAAAGUCUGUAUCCUCUAGGAAUCAAAUAAAAAGACUCAGUAGCAUGUCAAAGAGGAGGAUUGAAUCAUAAAUGAAGUAGAUUUAGAGGUACCUCCUUGAUGUAAUGAUGAAACACCGAUUUUUCUAAUGUCUCCCCCAGCACCGGUGAUAGUAGGUCACUUCUAAUUACCUUUUCCUUUCUGGGCUAUGUAUAGAUAAAUGCUUGGGAUAUUAAAAUGCCUUGUGGGCUGGUUAUUUAAUUGCUACAGAAUUGAUUUCAUGAAGGAAAGAAAAACAGAUUAGAUCCUAAGAUGUAAAUGUGAGACUUGACAGACUGCAGUGUGUGCUCAAGUCUAUCAAUAGAACUGCCAGCCCCCAGUCUCUAGCUGGAUCCUUGCAGUACAAGAAGAACACAUUUGAUAAUUAUAAGAGCAGAUGCAACUGUCCUUCCCUCCAAAAUAACAAGCAAUGGUGCAUUUUUGUGUUCUAAUUUCUCCUGCCAACCUGUACAUUAUAUACAUUAUCAAAAUAAUUUUAGAGUAGAAUGGCAUCUCUGUUUGCUUAUGAAGCCUUCAUGCUUCCCUUUUGCUCUUUUCUUUUUUCUUUGUUUAUUUCUCACUUCAAUAUCACAGGUGGUGAUGGUAUGCUCUAUUUUGGACACUAGAGACGUAGGUUUUGUGUUUUUGCUGUGUCUCAUGACUACAAACUAGGAAGUGCACAAAAUAUGUUUUCUCUGAUCUUGCUUCAGAGAAAUCUUGCCAUUUCAGACAAGAUACCCAAAUAACAGAAAACAUCAGGCUUAAUAUGACUUUAAAAUUCAUUUACCUAACAUUUAUUUGUUUAGCAAAUGUCGGUUUAGUACUUACGUUGUGUCAGGCACUGGUCUGUAUGCUGUGGAUUCAGUGAUGCACAGGACAAAGUCCUUGCUCUCACUUGCCCUCCUUUCUAGUUGGGAAAGACACCAAGAGCAGAAAUGUACCAGAUGCCCCUCAACUUAAGAUGGGACAGUGUCCCGGUAAACCCAUUGUAAGUUGAAACGUAAGUAACAAAUGCAUUUCACACUUACCUUGACCUACAGUUGGGCAAAAUCAUCUAACACAAAAACUAUGUUAUUAUAAAAUAUUGAAUAUCUCAUGUGAUUUAUUGAAUACUCUACUGAAAGUGAAAAACAAUGGCUGGCUCAGUACUUGACAUACAGUUUCUACUGAAUGUGUGUGGCUUUUACCCCACUGUAAUGUCAAAUAUAUCUUAAGCCAUAGUAAGUUGGAGGCAGUCUGCGUAGGGUCAUGAUGAGCAAUUAAGGUAUAUUUUAUUAAAAUAUUUUCAGGUAUAUUUUUCUUUAUUGCAAUUAUGAAGGUAGGGUAGCAUAUUAGUCUUCUUGAACUGCUAUAACAAAAUAUCAUAAAUAGAGUGGCUUAAACAACAAAUUUAUUUAUCCCUGUUCUGGAGGCUAAGAGUUCCAAGAUCAGGGUGCUCUCGUGGUAGGUUUUAUUCUAAGGUUUAUUCUUUUGGCUUGCAGGUGGCUUCUUUUUCUCUGCAUUUUCGGAGAAACAUUUCUUUGUGUGCUUCCAGAGAGACAGAGAGAGAGAAAACUCUCUAGUGUUUCUGCUUAUAAGGUCAUUUAUUCAAAUAUGGGCACACUGGAGGUUAGGGUUUCAGCAUAUGAAUUUUGGGGAAACGCAUAUUAGUAUAUUCAGUUCAUAACAGGUAGAGUAAGAGAUUAAAGUGUGAGGAUAGUCAAUGUCAUGCUGGUCUGUGGGGAGAACUCUUUUCUAAAAAUGAUCAGCUAGUGCUUUUCCGAUAAGGUGACCUUUGAGCAGAGAUAUAGUUUGGCUGUGUCCCCAUCCAAAUCUAAUCCUGAAUUGUAGCUCCCAUCAUCCCCAGGUGUCAUGGGAGGGACCUGGUGGGAGAUAAUUGAAUCAUGGGGCCAGGUUUUUCCCUAUCACAUGCUGUUCUCGGGAUAGUGAAUAAGUCUCAUGAAAUCUGACGGUUUUAUAAAGGGCAGUUCUGCUGCACACUGUCUUGCCUGCCACCGUGUAAGGUGUGCUUUUUUUUACUCCUUUGCCUUCUGCCAUGAUUGUGAGGCCUCCCCAGCCAUGUGGAACUGUGAGUUCAUUAAAUCACUUUUUGUUUAUAAAUUACCCAAUCUCAGGCAUUUCUUCAUAGCGGUAUGAAAAUAGACUAAGACAAUCUUAAACACAGACAAAGGAAGUGGACCAGAUGGAUAACUGGGGAGGGAUAUUUCAGGCAAAUGUGUAUGUGCAGGUAUGUGUAUCAGAGGAGGAAGAAGGUCAGGUUGGGGGCUGGAGUGAGUGAGGAGAGUUGGGGGAGAUGAAAGCAGAGGGAGGGAUCAUGGGUCCACUCCUAUAGGGUAGUGAGUCUCAACUUUCUCAGUCUCCAUGCCCCAUUUCAUAGCAAAAGUUUUGUAAUAAUCACGUUUUUAUUCUGAAAUAAAAUAGAAGAUAUAACCUAUCUAUAUAAGUAGACAGGAAGACAAGAUUAGAGGCAUAAUAUAACACAUAGAAUACAAUAGCUUAAAACACGCACCAAGUAAAAGUAGACAAAAUUAUGUGGUCUCUUAAUGAAACUUAAAGCACUUGCUUUUCCAGUUGCUUUAGGAAAAUAGUCUUAUCUAACCUUUCAAUAUAUUUUGUUUAAUUUGUUUAUUUUGAGACAGAGUCUCACUCUGUUGCCCAGGCUGGAGUGCAGUGGUGUCAUCACAGCCCACUGCAGCCUCAACCUCCCCUCCACUUCAGCUUCCUGAGUAGCUGGGACUAUGGCAGCACUAUUACUCCUGGAUAUUUUUUUUUUUUUUGGGGGGUAGAGACAUGGUCUCACUAUGUUGACUAGGUCAGUUUUGAACUCCUGGCAAUGAUCCUGCUGCUUCAGCCUCUCAAAGUGUAGGGAUUAUAGGCUUGAGCCACUGUGUUCUGCUGUCAAUAUAUGGAAAGUAUGUGUGUAAAAAGGUAGCAUAAAGUAAAGUUAGGAUAUAAACCCUGUUACAUUUCUGACAAAGCAAGGUCUGAAUUAAUGCCAUUUUCCUUAAUCGAUUUCUUUGCAGAGUGUUGAGAUGUAUGCUAGUCAACCAUUUAUGUUCUUUACACCUGUACAACACUUCAUAACUACAUACUCCAAAAGAAUAAGGGAGGCAUUGUUUUCCCUUUCUUUAAACUAUAGUAAAGUUCCACAUUUUCUGCAUAAAUGGAGGAAAUUAGAUGAGACCCUAAAGUGAAAUUCGUGGAGAUUUGGAAAGGUAAAUGAAGUUUCUUAUAGUGUCUAAAAGACAGUUAAAGGUUAAGGAGAGUGACCUUGUGGGGAAAAGCCUCCAAGGUCCUGCAGGGGGCUUGGCAGAAGCUGAUCAAAUGAUCUGUAUUGAGGGUGAUUUUCCAGGGCUAGGAAGGGAGAUGUCCACCAGACACCCAAGAAAAACAGCUAGUGCCUAAACAUACGAGAACACUUCUGGCCUAUUUCUUCAUUGCCUAAUGUGCUGGGCUUAAAGUAAUGUAUUUCAUAAUAUCCAUGUGCCUGGGAUAUUUUGGGUAUUAUUAGGCAUGAAGGGGAUAAAAUAGUUUCUAAAGUGACUCACUUCCUUUCAUUUGUAAAUACUUCUUUGGAAGCUUAUCCUUAAUAUUUAUUCAAAAAUUUAUAAAUGAUUAUUGAUAAACCAUGUAUUUAUUUACUUUUUUUUUGAGAUGGAGUGUCACUCUGUUGCCCAGGCUGGAGUGCAGUGGUGCAAUCUUGGCUCACUGUAAGCUCUGCCUCCCAGAUUCAAGCCAUUGUCUUUCCUCAGCCUCCUGAGUAGCUGGGAUUGCAGGCACGCACCACCAUGCCCAGCUAAUUUUUGUAUUUUUAGUAGAGACGGGGUUUCACCAUGUUGGCCAGGCUGGUCUCAAACUCCUGAGCUCAUCAUCUGCCCACCUCGUCCUCCCAAAGUACUGGGAUUACAGGUGUGAGCCACUGCACCCGGCUACCAUAUUUCUUAUAGUUGAUUUUUAAAUGCUCUCACUCUAUACUUAAUUAACAUCAGCUGGGCAGUUAGAAUUGAAGAUAAAAAAAUCUCACUUCAUGAUUUGUAGAAAUUGAAAUCCAAUAGACAAAAUUUCCAUCUAUCUCUAUAUAAUGAUGAGUGAAAUAUAAUUAUAUUUAAUAUGGGCAACUAUAUUGUGAAUGUGUUUUAAAAAUUGUUCUAAUUGGUGGCCUUUUCCCUACCAGGACUUUAUAUUUUGAUGUUGAAAUAGUAGGCAUUAUUCAAUGAAAUAAACAUGUAAGGAAAUAAAUUAAAUAAUGAGUACGUUUUUCCCCUUCAAAAAUUAGAUACUGCUAAUACUACAGCUCUAAAGCUCUUGGUAACCUUUGGAUAAAUGUUGCAGUUACCUGGUUAAUGCCAGCUCUUGUGCCUCUGUAGUCUAGAGCUGCCAAAGUCUAGGCUACAGAGUGAGAUGGCAGUUCUUGAGGAGAAAAUGGGAGUAGUGGGGCUGGACUAUGUUUUUAGAAUUUCUCCAUGAAAACCAUGGGAUUGAUAUUUUUCUCCCUUGAAGGGAAGGAGUGAAGAGGAGGAGAGGCCAGGUGUGUCCCAUUAGGAGAGCACCCUCUGUAUGGAAGGAAACACUAGGGGUGGGCAGAAGCAACCUCUCCCACCUCCCAGAAAGAGGAGGAACUCUUUCUGCCUACAGUUUAUGAAUUAUACUUGGGCUGUGCUGAAGAGUAAUGAAAUUAUGAGGUCAUGCAAACCUUGGUGGUAUUCAAAGAAAGAUACAACAUAACAAAUGGAUUCCUAACAGCAGGAUGCAGUGACUUCUCCUUGCAAAAGAAUUACCUAUGGAAGACAUCAAAUUUUAUUUCACAGAGGUUGGAUCCCUGUGAACAGAUAUGAUACUCCGAGUACUGAGAAUUUUGCCUGGAGGUCGUCAUUCCAGCUUCAACAGACUUUGAAUGGAUCAGCUGUACCAGAUGCAUUUGUUUUUCGCUUGGUCAUUAGAUUUUAUAUUACUGCAGAGACAAAUAAAAUAAAAAUCAUUUCAGAAGAAGCUUAUUAGACUGGCAUUUUUGUUAUGAGUAGCCUACUUUUUACUAAAUAUGAAUUUAAAUCAUUGUAAAACAUGAAGAAGGAAUAUUCUGGUGACUUAUCGUACAAGACUAAAAGCCCUCUACUCUCCCUCUGUUAUUUUUUUAAAGGAAAGUGUACAUAUGUAGUUAGGGAGAUAACAACUGCAAUACAUUGAAGAUUGAUAUGUACUCUCCAUUUUUUACAUCCAUGACAGUGUUGAUCAGGUCAGUUAGCUCAAUUUUGAAGAACAGAUUUUCCCCUUUUAUUUACUAUGCACAUGGCUGUGUUCUGACCAUAGUUUUUAUCCUAUUCUCUUACAGCUGUCUUAGAGUGUGUCUCACUGGUCAUAGGAGGACCAAAAAGAGGAAUAAGAAGGCAUCCUAGGGUAAUAGAAAAGCAUGAGACUUGGAUUUAGUUGAGAGAGGAAAGAGAAAUGGACAGGUGCCCCCACGCUGUGCCAAGCAUCUUCCCAUCAUUUAUCUUAUUUGAAAGCAUGUGAGUCUUACGGGCAGGAGUUGCUACCGCUGAAGCUUAGAGGUAUUCCCUGAUUUGCUCUGGGCCAUAGUAGGUGUCAGGAUCCACAUCCACCUCAAUCAGCAUCUAGAGUCAGUGCUCGUUCCACAUGCCACAGCACAUCAGGGGCUGAGUUCUGUUGAGUGAGCCUGUGAGCACCUCUGUAAAGUAGGAAAAUAUACCAACAUCAGAUUGCUAUUGUUAAAACUGUAUAUCACAAUAUAUGUGUUGUGCUUUGUUAAACUCUAAAAUGCCAAGCAAUGGAGAUGCUGUAUUGCGGAUGUAUUAUUGAAAAUUUAGCAUGAUUCUUUUUUUUUUUGAGAUAAAGUCUCACUCUGUGGCCCAGGCUGAAGUGUAGUGGUGGGAUCUCAGCUCACUGUAACCUCUGCCUCCCGGGUUCAAGUGAUUGUCCUGCCUCAGCCCCGCCCCAAGUAGCUGGGAUUACAGGUACCACCAAGCCUCGCUAAUUUUUUUUUUUUUUUUGUAUUUUUAGUAGAGUUUCACAAGUUGGUCAGGCUGGUGUUAAACUGGGGAAGAUAACUUAAAAUACUCACUCCUCCAAUGUGGUAUAGUUCAGUAGAACCAUCUUCAUAACAAAAACAGAAAAUCAUAAUUAAGAUGCAUUUUACUUGAAAAUUAUUGCCAAUAGCAAUUUGUACAAAGAAAGCUAGAAUCAUUAAGAGGAGAACCUCUGAAGCAACAUGAUGCCUCCAAUUGAUUGUUGAAAACCCCUGUGUACACAAGUAUGGUAUUCAUAGGUGGGACACGUGACCAUAGCAUAGGAAAAUAUUAGUAUGAUUAAAAUGUAGCAAGAGCAGAGAAAUGUCAGUGGGUGGUGUUAAAUAGAAGAUUUUUUUCUAAGUACUGUCAGGGAAAAUCUUGUGCUUACUACUUUCCUAAAAAGAGAGAGGAGAGUAAGUGGGGGAAAACACACACAUACUUUUACCCUUCAAAGACAUAUCCCUUCAUUCAUAUGUAGUAAUCAGACACCACCGGCUAUUUCUGGCUCAUAAUCGUUUGCAAAUUGCCUGGCUACUACUCACCUUGUUUCUUCCUUGCCUACACAUUCGUCAGCCAUCAGAACCACCUACAAUAGCUUCCACUCAGAAUAGCAUGGUUACUAACAAAUCCCCUCAAAGGGAAAAUAAAUGUGUGCAGUUGGGUGACACCCUUCCUUUUUCCUUCUCCUUCCAUGUGGCUGGGGCCCACUUGGCACUAAGAGUCCUUCUGUCCAGAUGGUGCACUCUUUUCUGCUCCUGCUUUAUCACAUUCUCUGCCAAAGCACUAAGUGCCAGUUUUCCGGUGAGAAUCCGCUUGCAGAAAGCCAGCUGCCUAGGUUAAGUCACCUCCUUUGUAGUCUACUGCGGUUACAGUGAGACAACGGCUAGAAACAGAAGAGAAAGGAGGUAGGCAGGAAUGCAGUUUGUACAAAAAAGAAAAUUACUGGAGAAAUGGAAUUCAUUCACUCACCUGUGUGAACUUUAUUAAGUUAUUUUGACUCUCUGGACUUCAGUUGCCUCAUCUCUAAAAUGAAGGAGUUGAACUGAAUUGCUUCUCACCUCUAACAUUCUGCAAUCUUGUGGCUAUUUAGCUUAUAUUGCUUUAGAUGAUGCAUAGAAGUGAGCUCCAGGCCUGGCGCAGUGGUUCACACCUAUAAUCCCAGAACUUUGGGAGGCCGAGGAGGGUAGAUCACGAGAUCAAGAGAUGGAGACCAUCCUGGUCAACAUGGUGAAACUCUGUCUCUACUAAAAAUGCAAAAUAAAUUAGCUGGGUGUGGUGGUGCGUGCCUGUAGUCCCAGCUACUCGGGAGGCUGAGGCAGGAGAAUUGCUUGAACCCAGGAGGUGGAGGUUGCAGUGAGCUGAGAUCGCGCCGUUACACCCCAGCCUGGGUAAUAAGAGCAAAGCUCUGUCUCAAAAAAAAAAAAAAAGUGAGCUCCAUUGUGCUGAAAACCUUCUACAUGCAAGUGAUGACUAUAUUACAUAUGGCCAGCCAGCAAUUUGGGGGAGGAAUAAAUAAAUUUCAGAUAAGUGUGGGUGGUAGCUUCUUUAUAGCAAAACUAGGUCUGACUGAUGAAACAUUUCAGCGAGGUCCUAAUUUCAGACUGUCAUGUUCUUCAAUGUGGAGAAGAGUUUCAAGGCAGGUGCAGGUUACUUGUGAUGUAUACAAUUAGUCUGGUGUUGCUGAUGCAGGAAAGGAGGAUUUACUGGGUUUUUACUGUAACUUAGGUUUCAGGGACAUAGUGGUAAACAAUUUUGAGCCUAAUAGCCAUACAGCAGGCUGUGCAGUGGCUCACCCCAGCAGACUACAGGCAAUCUUUCCACUAGAGUGCCAGAUUAUGGCUACAUGCCCUUCAAACAUUUUUGCUGAGGUGGAGGCCAUUCUGAAAAGUUUCAGAGGGGUUUGGCCCCUUCUUAUUUCCUACUGAGACCAUCAGAGCGGCUGUGAGAGCACUGCUCAGGAGCCCUGGGCAGGUUCUGGAGCAGCCCAAGAUUCCCAGGCUCCAGGGAAAAGUCUGCAGCGUUUUUAUAGGACUCCGGGCUCUCACUGAACUUCACGCUCUGCUGUGUGGCUAUAAAUGUUUCUUUGUAGAUUUUGUCAUCUACUAUGAAGAAAAGCAGAAAUAAAGAAGAAUGCUUGAGAUAAAAAGAAUACUGCUGUUUUGAUAUUGAGCUUUCACAUAUCUGAAUUAUGAGUCAUUCCUUCGUCAGUAUGUUCUAAUAACUAUUUUGAAUAUACAAUAACUUCAUACUUUGUGAUCUCCCCACCUUUCUUUUCUAUUUAAGGUUUCAGCUUGGAAGAUAUGGGUAGAACUGGAUAGAAAAACAUGUUUUUUUUUCCUAAGUAUGCUGGGGUUCUGCAUACAAUUAUGUAUUAAAAUGGGUAUCAUUUGAUACAUAUUUAUUUUUUGUGGCACACACCCUGGUGUGCACAAGAACAACUCAAAUCGCAAGAAUCAUAUACAACCCAGAGCUGGGGAAAUUUUGGUCUUAAAAGUGUGUUCGUCUACUCAGACUGCCACAGUGAAAUACAUAAACUAAGUGGCUUAAAUAACAGAAAUUUGUUUUCUCACAGUUCUAGAGGCUGAAAGUCCAAGAUCAGGGUUCUAGCCAAUUACAUUUCUGAUGAGGGCUCUCUUCCUGGCUUACAUACAACCACCUCUACAUAUGUCUGCACAUGGCUUUUCUCAGUGCAUGCUUGUUGGGAGAGAGAGGGCACACUGUGGUGUCUCUUCUUAUAAGGAUUCCCUUAUGGCCUCAUUUAACCUCACUUCCUUAGAAGCCCUAUCUUCAAAUACAACCAUGCUUAGGGUUAAGGCUUAUAUAUAUAUAUUAUAUAUAUAUGUGUGUGUGUGUGUGUGUGUGUGUGUGUGUGUGAUACAACCAUUCAGUUCAUAACGAGAAGUACACUUCUCAGGGGAAGUAGUGUAGGGUUGAAGAUGAUGUGAUUUAGCGGCUAAAGAGUAUGGUCUUUGGAGUCAGUUACAUCCUAGUUUGAUUUCUUGUUUUGCCACUAACUAUGUGACCUUGGGUGAAUUCAUUCACCAAAUUUUUUUGAGUAUCUACUGGGUCUUAUUUGAGGAGUUGGCCAUAAAGUUGUAAAUAUGGCAGAAGUAACAAUGCUGUUCAUGAAAAUCCUUCCAAGAGUACGAGCAUGUGAAGGAUUCAGCAAAUGCUAGCUUCCAAAAUUUUUCGCUUAGUUCAGGCCUAGUAGAAAUAGGUUUGAUUUUGUUUAGAAUCCCCUGGAUUUUCCAGGAAUUGAGUCAACUCCCAGUGGGACUAUGCUUUAGCAAACACUGUACAGUUUCUACAAGGAGAUUGUAUAUCCCCAAGGUUUCUGAGCACUGUGUAUGCAUGUACUUGUGUAUAUGAAAAGGCAUGUGUUCAGGUAGGGAGAAGGAAGGGAGGUCACAGAUGGCAGGGACAAGAGCUGAAUGUAAGCAGAGACUAAAAAGCCCCAUUCAUUGUGCACUGACUGGUGGGACUCAGUCAUUACCGGUUGUACCGUAGGAGAAUUUGUUCCCCAAUGGUCUCUUGAAGUCACCCAUUCUCUGAAAUUCUUUCAGGUGAAAGGUGAGCUACAGGAGGUUCUUCUACUAGAGAUUCUGCCUAGAUUUUCAGUCUACCUCUUCAAUUCUGAGGUCCUGUAGAUUUCUUUUCCCAACUCAAUCAACAGAUACAUAUGCUCAUGUGCACACACUUGUGUGAACUUAUUCACACACACACAAACAUAUGUAUACUUUAAAAAAUUUAUGAUAGGGUUUUUUUAGGUGUAAGAGCAUUGAAGGUAUAAAUAUUACAAUCGACUUUGUUUUCUGCUAAGGGAAAGAAAUGAUUCAGCAGCAUCCUCUUACUGUUUAGAAUCACAGAUAACAUCUUUUAAUUCUUUAUUGAUUUUAAAAUUAAUUUGUUAUCAUAACAAUCUAAAGGUAUCUUAAAAGCUGUCCUCUAGAAUGUCUAAUAAUACCUCAAGUACAACCGCUGACUUAGAGUUUUUUCAAUCACUUGAAGGUUUUCUAACCUCUAAAUUGAUUGUGGUGGCAUCAGAAUGCUGCAGAAAGGACAUCAGGCCGAGGAAGACCAGAGGAAUUGGAGGGAUUCUAGUCCUCUAUCUGCCCCAAGCCAGGAAGGACCUUGAGAAAGUCACCAACAGAUUCCCCUAGAAGCAGUCUCUAGUCUUCCAGUUUAAUUAAUCUCCCUGGGACUUGAUAUUUUCAUUUUCAAAACGAAGGUGUUAGAGUAGAUGACCUCAAAUGCUCUUCCUGGUUGAUCCUUAAAAGCAGCCGGACUGAAAUGUCACAGACAUGAUGCUUUAUGUGCAUUAGCACACUUAAUUUCCUCAUAACACUUGUCACUCACAUUAUCCUCAUUUUGCAGACAUGGAAACCAAAGGCUAGAGAAGUUAAGAAAUCUGCCCUGAGAUCCUUACAGCAAAAUAGAAGUCUCAGAGAUCAAGAUGGGCUUCUCAAGGAAAGGAUACUCACUCCAUAUUUACAUCACGGAAGGAGGUUGGAGCUGGAUCAAGGUACCCACGUGAGGAGAAGGGCUUGCAUGGUUUGUAUCUCCUGCAGGAGCCAAAGAAGGAAACACCCAGCCUAUUUUAAAAGCUUUCCCAGAGGUGGGGCAAAAGGGAAAGAAUGAGGGGUGAGGGUUAAAAUAUGGCAGUAGUCAACUAUCAAAAGAUGAUGUUAGAUACAUUAUUAUAUCCUGAUUUUGUGUCAUUAAUAUUAUGGACUUGAGUUCAGGGAUCAUCCAUUUAUCCUUAUUCAACUCAUUCUUGUUAAAUGUAGCCCAUUAACCCAAGAUACUAAAAUCUCCUUGGAUCUGAUUCUGUGAAAGAGUAUUUUUGCAAUUCUACCAAGCCAUUUAUCAUUGGAAAAUGUAAUAAUGAUAACUUCAACAUUGUUAAUAAUUGAUUAAAAAUGCAGAAUAUUACAAAGCUAAGAAGAAAGCACUGUAGCAACCCACUCAACCCUUUCCUCCAGGUAGGCAUAAUCCAUUAGCCACCCUUCGAAUGUAGUCCAUCACUAAUUUGCUACAUUAAACUGGCAUCCAAACCUUAUUAUUCCAAACUGUCUCAAAGGUGGUCAUUGUAUUAGUCUGUUCAUGUGUUUCCAUAAAGAAAUGCUUGGGGUUGGGUAACAAAAAGAAAAGCGUUCUAAUUGGCCCACGAUUCUGCAAGCUGUAUGGGAAGAAUGGUGCUAGUAAUGCUUCUGGCUCUGGAGAAAGAGAAGCAUUGGGGAGACUCGGGGAGCUCUUAUUCACGGUGGAAGGUGACAGGAAGCCAGUAUCUCACAUGGCAAGAGCAGGAGCAAGGGGGACGGAGGUGUCACACAUUUUUUAUUUAUUUUUAUUU